UUUUUUUGGUUUUUCUUAAGGUUUAUUAAACACACAAGAAGAAAAUAAAAGGAAACUAAACUAGCAUGGAUAUUACAAUGAAAAACUAUGAGCAUCGACAUCUAGCAGUGGGUGUGUGAACAUGAAUGUAAUGUCGGUGAGAAAUACGUACUCCCCCAUGCUUAGGCUUUUGGCCUAAGUUGGUCUAUGGCCACGGUUGGCCUGGCAGAUAUCCAUAGUAAUAGUUGGGGUCGUACUGAGAUGCAACGGCUAUCGCCUCCUAAGCUACAGCGCGGCAACGAGCGGCCUCCGCCCUCCUCUCGUACUCAUCUGCCUCCUCUCUGGUAAUAACAUAUCUUCCUUUUGCCUGAUAAUCAAAGAAGGCAGGAGCAGGGAGAGUAAUACGGACAUCACGGUGUCUGCCAAAGAUUAAGCGAUAGUGGAGAGGUGAUUCAUUCCUCUCAACAAACUGGCGGUGAACCAUAGCAUUAAAGUCUAGGUAAGCAGGAGGCAAUUCAAUAUCAUCAUUACGUAUGGUUACACCAAGAAAAUCAGCUAAGCGGGUUGCAUAAAUUCCACCAAAGAAAUCUCCAUUAAAUCUAUUAAGAUGCAACCUACGUGCAACAAUGGUCCCAAAUUAUAAGAUUUAUCUCCUAACACAGCACUCCUAAGAAUACUGAGGUCAGGCACACACAUGUGACAUGCCUCAUCUUUACCAUUAAUGCAUCUACCUAUGAAGAGAGCAAAAUAAUGUAUAGCAGGAAAGUGAAUUCUCCCUAUGGUAGCUUGUGUUAUAUCUCUAGAUUCCCCCAUAGUUAUACUAGCAAGAAAAUCUCUAAAUUCAUAUUUGCGAGGUUCCCUGAUACUACCCCAUUCUGGAAGUUUGCAAGCAGUGGUAAAAUCCUCUAAGUCCAUAGUGUAAGAAUUUUUAUAAAGAUCAAACAUGACAGAUGGAGAAUUACCUGAAGAUGAAAAUUCAAACCUCCUCACAAAGGAACUAGUGAGAUAAUGGUACUGGCGGCAUUUUUCAGCCUUGAAGCUCACAAGAUCAGCGUUACGCAAAUAUGCGUUAAAUUCUUCCUUGAUUCCCGCUCGAUCCAUAAAGUUUUCUGAAGGCCAUUCACAGGGCCGCACUGGAGCGUCCCUUGGUGACUCAUCAUCAGCAUCACGCAUUGCAAGUUUGGGCUCUUGUUUCCUUGAAGAGCCACCUUGGUACAUUUUCCUAAACAUAUUUCUUCCUCUAAAUUUUUUUUGAAAUUUUUAGUAACUUCAAACAAAAGUGAACCAAGCUCAAUAAAAUUGAUAACAACUACUCCUACAAGUGCCUAAAACCAAUAUCAUGCAUCAAAACUACUUUUUACCAUAUAAAUUUGACAUGCAAGCUCAAGAACAGGUGACUAUAGACUUGCAAGAUAGGGUCAAGAACUCUCAUAUAUUGAUGAAAACAUAAUAGGUUCAGAUCAGAAAUCAUGGCACUCGGGCCCUAGUGACAAGCAUUAAGCUUAGCAACGUCAUAGCAACAUCAACCUCAGAACAUAGUGGAUACUAGGGAUCAAACCCUAACAAAACUAACUCGAUUACAUGAUAAAUCUCAUCCAACCCAUCACCGUCCAGCAAGCCUACGAUGGAAUUACUCACGCACGGCGGUGAGCAUCAUGAAAUUGGUGAUGGAGGAAGGUUGAUGAUGACGAUGCCGACGGAUUCCCCUCUCCGGAGCCCCGAACGGACUCCAAAUCAGCCCUCUCGAGAGGUUUUAGGGCUUGGCGGCGGCUCUGUAUCGUUAAACGCGAUGAAUCCUUCUCUCCAAUUUUUUCCUCCCUGAAAGCAAAUAUAUAGAGUUGGAGUCGAGGUCGGAGGAGCUCCAGGGGGCCCACGAGGUAGGGGGCGCGCCCUAGGGGGGCAGACGCGCCCCCCACCCUCGUGGCUAGGGUGUGGGCCCCCUGGUCUUCAUCUUUUGUAAGGAUGUUUUAUUAUUUCCAAAUAGACGUUCCGUGAAGUUUCAGGUCAUUCCGAGAACUUUUGUUUCUGCACAUAAAUAACACCAUGGCAAUUCUGCUAAAAACAUCAUCAGUUCGGGUUAGUUCCAUUCAAAUCAUGCAAGUUAGAGUCCAAAACAAGGGCAAAAGUGUUUGGAAAAGUAGAUACGACGGAGACGUAUCACCCGUCAAUCCUGUAUGCAUCAAUUUCUAUGCUAGGUUGAAGCUUUUGUCACUCUUGCCCUCCAAUACAUAGUCCUAUUGACAUGCAACUAACCCUAUGGUGUGAUCCACGCGCGUGCUCAUAUGAUGGGCACCAAAGGAUAACAACAUAACCACAAGCAAAUUAAAUCAAUCAUAGCAAUUCACCAAUCACCGAUAGGACAACGAAAAUCUACUCAGACAUCAUAGGAUGGCAACACAUCAUUGGAUAAUAAUAUGAAGCAUAAAGAACCAUGUUCAAGUAGAGGGUACAACAGGUUGCGGGAGAGUGGACUGCUGUAGAUAGAUGGGGGAAGGUGAUGGAGAUGUUGGUGAAGAUGACGGAGGUGUUGGUGUAGAUCGCGGUGAUGAUGAUGGCCCCGACGGCGUUCCGGCGCCACCGGGAGAGAGGGGAUAGAGCCCCCCUUCUUCUUCUUCCUUGACCUUCUCCCUAGAUGGGAGAAGGGUUUCCCCUCUGGUCCAUGGCCUCCAUGGAGGCGGAGGGGCGAGAGCUCCUCCGAAAUUGGAUCUGUCCCUCUGUCUCUCUUUGUUUCUGCGUUGUCUGAUUCUGCCCUUUCACCGUUUCUUAAAUUCCCAGAGAUCUAUAACUCCGAUUGGGAUGAAAUUUAAAAACAAUCUCUAUCCGGAUAUUAGCUUUGUUGCGGAGAAAUAAGGGCUCCAACCGCCUUACAGGGCGGCCACGAGGGCCCAGGGCACGCCUGACCUCCUGGGGCGCGCCCCCUGCCUCGUGGCCCCCUCGGCCAUCGUCUCGCAUUGAUUCUUCUUCCCAAAAAUCACAUAUAUUCCAAAAAAAAUCUCCAUCAGUUUUUAUCCUGUUUGGACUCCGUUUGAUAUGGAUUUUCUGCGAAACAAAAAACAUGCAACAAACAUGAACUGGCACUGGCACUGGAUCAAUAUGUUAGUCCCAAAAAUAGUAUAAAAGGUUGCCAAAAGUAUAUGAAAGUUGUAGAAUAUUGGAAUGGAAUAAUCGAAAAUUAUAGAUACGAUGAAGACGUAUCAACAUCCCCAAGCUUAAUUCCUGCUCGUCCUCGAGUAGGUAAAUGAUAAAAAAGAUAAUUUUUGAUGUGGAAUGCUACCUAGCAUAAUCUUGAUCAUGUAAUCUAAUCAUGGCAUGAAUAUUAAGACACGAGUGAUUCAAAGCAAUAGUCUAUCAUUUGACAUUAAGACAAUAAUACUUCAAGCAUAAUAAUAAAGCAAUCAUGUCUUUUCAAAAUAACAUGGACAAAGAAAGUUAUCCCUACAAAAUCAUAUAGUCUGGCUAUGCUCCAUCUUCACCACACAAAAUAUUCAAAUCAUGCACAACCCCGAUGACAAGCCAAGCAAUUGUUUCAUACUUUUGACAUUCUCAAACCUUUUCAACUUUCACGCAAUACAUGAGCUUGAGCCAUGGACAUAGUGUUGGGGAUAUACAUAACAGGUAGGCCCACGAAGGGUCGAAAUAUCAUGAAGCAUGGGGCCCACACAACAUGUGGGUCCAGGUCAAUUUCAUACAGACACACUAUCCACUCGGACAAGCAGCAUACUAUCCACUCGACCAAGCAACAUACCAUCCACUCGGAUGACGGCUCACCACUCGACCGUACGACUCACUCGGAUAUACGAAGACCAGCAGGCAGCAAGGCAGUCGGCACCUUUCUAAUAGUGAGGGCUUAAUAGCGGGCUGGCAUUAUGGCAUUCAUACCCCACUUUGUAACAUAGGAGGUGAGGGGGUGGCGCACUCUAUAUAAGCCACCCCCCACCACUAGACAAGGGGGCUUCUUCUUCCACCUCUCUCUCUUUUCACCAUUAGUCUCAGGACUUAGCUCAGGCAUGGGGAUCCGUUCCUCUCUCUCACACACAUAUUGUAAUCUCCGGAUAUAUACUCAAAUAAAACAAAGCCUCUCCGGAGCACGAGACGUAGGGUUGUUAUCUCCACCGUGAGAGGCCCGAACUCGCUAAAACCACCGUGUCACCCAUAUGCAUCUCGAUAGAUCAUGCUCCGUUCUCCUACCCCUCUCUUACUGUCAGACUUAGAACCACGACACAUAGCACUAUGGGCGGAAUAGAAUAUGAUGGUGGAGAUUGUGUGGAGAAGACAAAAAGGGAGAAAGUCUCACAUCAACGUGGAUAAUCAAUGGGCUAUGGAGAUGCCCAUCAAUUGAUGUCAAUGCGAGGAGUAGGGAUUGCCAUGCAACAGAUGCACUAGAGCUAUAAGUGUAUGAAAGAUCAAACUGAAACUAAGUGGGUGUGCAUCCAACUUGCUUGCUCAUGAAGACCUAGGGCACUUGAGGAAGCCCAUCAUUGGAAUAUACAAGCCAAGUUCUAUAAUGAAAAUUCCCACUAGUAUAUGAAAGUGAUAACUCAAGAGACUCCCUAUAUGAAGAACAUGGUGGUACUCUAAAGCACAAGUGUGGUAAAAGGAUAGUAACAUUGUCCCUUCUCUCUUUUCUCUCAUUUUUUUUAUUUCUUUCUCUUUUUUUCUUUUUUUUCUUUUUUUGGUGGGCUUCUUUGGCCUCUUUUAUUUUUUGUGGGCUUCUUUGGCCUCUUUUUUUGUAAAGUCCGAAGACUCAUCCCAACUUGUGAGGGAAUCAUAGCUUCCAUCAUCCUUUCCUCGCAUGGGACAAUGCUCUAAUAAUGAUGACCAUCACACUUUUAUUUACUUACAACUCGAUACUAGAACAAAAUAUGACUCUAUAUGAAUGCCUCCGGCGGUGUACCAAGAUGUGCAAUGAUAUAGCCUAGCAAUGACAUCAAAAAACGGACAAGCCAUGAAAACAUCAUGCUAGCUAUCUUAUGAUCAUGCAAAGCAAUAUGACAAUGAUGCUCAAGUCAUGUAUAUGAUGAUGAUGGAAGUUGCAUGGCAAUAUAUCUCGGAAUGUCUAUGGAAAUGCCAUAAUAGGUAGGUAUGGUGGCUGUUUUGAGGAAGAUAUAAGGAGGCUUAUGUGUGAUAGAGCGUAUCGUAUCACGGGGUUUUGAUGCACUGGCAAAGUUUGCACCAACUCUCGAGGUGAGAAAGGGCAAUGCACGGUACCGAAGAGGCUAGCAAUGAUGGAAGGGUGAGAGUGCGUAUAAUCCAUGGACUCAACAUUAGUCAUAAAGAACUCACAUACUUAUUGCAAAAGUCUAUUAGUUAUCGAAGCAAAGUACUACGCGCAUGCUCCUAGGGGGUAGAUUGGUAGGAAAAGACCAUCGCUCGUCCCCAACCGCCACUCAUAAGGAAGACAAUCAAUAAAUAAAUCAUGCUCCAACUUCAUCACAUAACGGUUAACCAUAUGUGCAUGCUACGGGAAUCACAAACUUCAACACAAGUAUUUCUACAGUCCAUAACUACCCACUAGCAUGACCCUAAUAUCACCAUCUUUGUAUCGCAAAACUAUUGCAAGGAAUCAAACAUAUCAUAUUCAGUGAUCUACAAGUUUCAUGUAGGAUUUUAUGACUAACCAUGUGAAUGACCAGUUCCUGUCAACUCUCUAAAUAGAUAUAAGUGAAGCAAGAGAGUUUAAUUCUUUCCACAAAAGAUAUGCCCACGCUCUAACAAAUAUAAGUGAAGCAAAAGAGCAUUCUACGAAUGGCGGUUUUCUAUGUGAAGAGAAACAUGCAAUCCAAACUUCAAAAGAUAUAAGUGAAGCACAUGAAGCAUUCUAUAAAUCCAUACUCAAAAGAUAUAAGUGAAGUGCAAUGAGAAUUCUAUAAAUCAACCAUGGACUAUCUCAUACCAGCAUGGUGCAUAAAAUAAAAUGGAAACUAAAUGCAAAAGACGCUCCAAGAUUUACGCAUAUCAUGUGACGAAUAAAAAUAUAGCUCCAAGUGAAAUUACCGAUGAUCGUUAGAAGAAAGAGGGGAUGCCUUCCGGGGCAUCCCCAAGCUUGGUUGCUUGGGAGUCCUUGAAUAUUUCCUUGGGGUGCCUCGGGCAUCCCCAAGCUUGGGCUCUUGCCACUCCUUAUUCCUUCAUCCAUCGUGAUCUCUACCAAAAACAUGAAAACUUCAAUCACACAAAACUUAACAAAAAGUUCAGUAAGAUCCGUUAGUAUAAUAAAGCAAAUAACUACUCUAAGUACUGUUGCAAACCAAUUCAUAUUUUGUUUUUGCAUUGUAGCUACUGUAAUAUAACUUUUCCAUGGCUUAAUCCACUGAUAGAAAUUGAUAGUUUCAUUAAAACAAGUAAACUAUGCAUCAAAAACAGAAUCUGUCUUAAAUAGGACAGUUUGUAGUAGUCUGAACAUUCACCAUACCUCUGUUACUCCAAAAAUUCUUAAAAAAUUAGGAACAAUAAACAAUUUGUAUAGAAAGACAGUGAAAAAAGUUUUAGAACUAUUUGAUGUUCCAGUAAAAAAUGUCAAAUCGUGCACUACAGCCAAAGUUUCUAUCCUGCACCGCACAAACCAACAAGCAAUCUAAACAUCCUAAAGGCAAACCUUGGCACAUUAUUUUUAUUAUACAAUGUAAUUGUACAAGGGGUUAAUUAUUUUGGUUGAAAAGUUUAUGCAAUCAAGAUUCACAAAGUUUCCAUGAGCAUGAACAAAGUUCAAGGAGCUCCCCCACUUCAACAAUGCUUGUCUCUCUCACUUACACUUUUCUUUUUGAAAAGUUUUGGGUCCCCCUCUUUAUUUAUUUAUCUGUUUUUAAACUAUAUAAAAUCACUCAACAUAAGUAAAUGACUCUCUACAACUUCCGGGUUGUCUCCCUGGCAGCGCUUUCUUAAAAGCCAUUAAGCUAGGCAUGAAGUGCUCAAGUAAUGAAUCCACCCGGAUCCCAAGGUAUAUCAAAGCCAAUUUUAAUUAACAAUGAUUUGUAAUUUUGUAGUGACCACAAAGUAACAUAUAUCAAGCAAUGACAAAUUCUAACUCUCUUCCUAUGCAUCGGCAUGUCAUAAAAGAACAAUUCAUGCACACAUAGUAAAGGCUACUGCAUAGUAUAAACAAUUUCUUGCAAUUUUAUCGUGUGGGAAACAUAGAGAGGUGGAGAUAUAGUUGCUCUCUCAUAAUAAUUGCAAGUAGGAGCAGCAAGCACAUGCAUAUUAUAUCUAUCAAAAUCAUCAUGUGUAGCAGUAAAAGGCAACCCAUCAAUAUAAUCCUUAAUAAGUGCAAACUUCUCCGAUAUAGUGUAGUCGGGAGAAUUCAAAUAGAUAAUAGGACUAGCAUACGUGGGUGCAAUAGCAACAAUUUCAUGUUUAACAUAAGGAACUAUAGAAAGUUCAUCUCCAUAAGCAUAAUUCAUUUUGGCAUCUUGGCCACAAGCAUAACAAGCAUCAUCAAAAAGGGAUAUUUCAAAAGAAUCAAUGGGAUCAUAACAAUCAUCACAGCAUACAUCCUUCGGUAAGCACGAAGGGAAAUUAAACAAUGUAUGACUUGAAGAGUUACUCUCAUUAGAAGGUGGGCAUGGGUGAUCAAUCCGCUCUUCCUCCUUUUGUUCUUCGCUCUCCUCCUCAUCUUUUUCAUCCAAUGAGCUCACAAUGUCAUUAAUUUCUUCUUCCAUAGACUCCUGCAAAAUAUUGGUGUCUUCUUGGACAGUGAAGACUCUCUUAAUAAAAUCAUCAAUAUCGGAAUUGAAUUCAUAAUUCUCAUAGCAAUAUUUAAGUAUAGAAAAAAUUUCAGGUCUAUAAACUGAAUCAUCAAAAUCUUCGAACUCUUUAAACAAAGAUUCAAUUUCAUAAGCACCCACAAAAGCAAUGAAUUCUUCUAUUUGUUCCACAUCAUAGUAAUCAUAUAUACCAUUAGCAUAAGAAGCCAAGGUUUUAUCAUCAUUAAAUUUGCAUGAAAAGGGAAGGUGUGGAGCCUUCAUCCUAGAGCAACAAGUAUAAUCAUAUCUCAAGCAAAGUUGCCGAGCAUACCAAUGCAACAUAUGAAUUUGAUCUCAUAAUAGUUUCCCUUUUGAGUCAAGCGAUAAUCCCUAAAGUAUUCACGGUUAUCCAACGUGUCUCCCAUUACAUAAUUGAAUGGGGUUUUCUCAGGAUUAUCAAAGUAGUGCAUAAUAUCUUUCACAUAACCAGCAUCAAGGGUUUUAGGAGGUUCCCCAUCUCCAUGAGUAACAAGUAAAGCUAAUUUUUUUGGUGUUUCAUGUUCCAUAUCCAUAACUAAAGAUAGAGAACAACUUAGAACAACAAAUAAAAAAUACUUAGUGAUAAAGCAAACAAGCACACACGAGAAUAUUCACCCCACGCUAUGAAUCCCUGGCAACGGCGCCAGAAAAAGGUAUUGAUAACCCACAAGUAUAGGGGAUCAAUUGUAGCCUCUUUCGAUAAGUAAGAGUGUCGAACCCAAUGAGGAGAUAAAGGUAUAACAAAUAUUCCCUCAAGUUCUAUCGACCACCGAUACAACUCUACGCAUGCUUAACGUUCGCUUUACCUAGAACAAGUAUGAAACUAGAAGUACUUUAUAGGUGCUUUUGGAUAGGUUUGCAAGAUAAUAAAGAGCACGUAAAUGAAAAGUAGGGGCUGUUUAGAUAAAGAAACAAUAAAAUUUGUAUAGCGAGUGUGGAAAAGUGGUGGUAGGAGUUGUGAAAUUGUCCCUAAGCAAUUGACUACUUUACUAGACGAUAGCAAGUUUUAUGUGGGAGAGGCCACUGCUAGCAUGUCAUCCCUGAUUUGGAAUUCUAUGCACUUAUGAUUGGAACUAUUAGCAAGCAUCCACAACUACUAAUGUUCAUUAAGGUAAAACCCAACCAUAGCAUUAAGAUAUAUUGGUCCCCCUUCAAUCCCGUAUGCAUCAAUUUCUAUGCUAGGUUGAAGCUUCUGUCACUCUUGCCCUCCAAUACAUAGUCCUAUCAACAUACAACUAACCCUAUGGUGUGAUCCACGCGCGUGCUCAUAUGAUGGGCACCAAAGGACAGCAAUAUAACCACAAGCAAAUUAAAUCAAUCAUAGAAAUUCACCAAUCACAGAUAGGACAACGAAAAUCUACUCAGACAUCAUAGGAUGGCAACACAUCAUUGGAUAAUAAUAUGAAGCAUAAAGCACCAUGUUCAAGUAGAGGGUACAGCGGGUUGAGGGAGAGUGGACCAGUGUAGAUAGAUGGGGGAAGGUGAUGGAGAUGUUGGUGAAUAUGACGGAGGUGUUGGUGUAGAUCGCGGUGAUGAUGAUGGCCCCGGCAGCGUUCCGGCGCCACCGGGAGAGAGGGGGAGAGAGCCCCCUUCUUCUUCUACUUCCUUGACCUUCUCCCUAGACGGGAGAAGGGUUUCCCCUCUGGUACAUGGCCUCCAGGGAGGUGGAGGGGCGAGAGCCCCUCCGAGAUUGGAUCUGUCUCUCUGUCUCUCUCUGUUUCUGCGUUGGCUGAUUCUGCCCUUUCACCGUUUCUUAAAUUCCCGGAGAUCUGUAACUCUGAUUGGGCUGAAAUUUUAACAUGAUCUCUAUCUGGAUAUUAGCUUUCUUGCGGCAAAACAAGGGCACCAACCGCCUUACGGGGUGGCAACGAGCGCCCAGGGCGCGCCUGACCCUCUGGGGCGCGCCCCCCUGCCUCGUGGCCCCCUCAGGCAUCGUCUCGCGUUGAUUCUUCCUCCCAAAAAUCACAUAGAUUCCAAAAAAAUCUCCGUCAGUUUUUAUCCCGUUUGGACUCCGUUUGAUAUCGAUUUUCUGCGAAACAAAAAACAUGCAACAAACAGGAACUGGCACUGGGCACUGGAUCAAUAUGUUAGUCCCAAAAAUAGUAUAAAAAGCUGCCAAAAGUAUAUGAAAGUUGUAGAAUAUUGUCAUGGAACAAUCGAAAAUUUUAGAUACGACGGAGACGUAUCACGUACGCAACGUGCAGGUGUGCAAUGGGCAAUGGGCCUAGACCCCUGUGCGCUUAGGAUUUAGACCGGCGUGCUGACCUCUCUGGUGUGCCUAGGUGGGGCUGCAACGUGUUGAUCUUCCGAGGCCGGGCAUGACCCAGGAAAGUGUGUCCGGCCAAAGGGGAUCGAGCAUGUUGGGAAAUGUGGUGCACCCCUGCAGGGAAGUUUAUCUAUUCGAAUAGCCAUGUCCCUAGGUAAAAGGACGACCCGGAGUUGUACCAUGACCUUAUGACAACUAGAACCGGAUACUUAAUAAAACACACCCUUCCAAAUGUCAGUUUCAACCCGGUGAUCGCUCUCUAACAGGGCGACGAGGGGAGGAUUGCUGGGUAGGAUUAUGAUAUGCGAUGUUACUUGGUGAACUUACCAUCUACUCUCUUCUUCUGCUUCAAGAUGGAGGCUGCCAGAAGCGUAGUCUUCGAUAGGACUAGCUAUCCCCCUCUUAUUCCGGCAUUCUGCAAUUCAGUCCACAUAUACUAUCACUUUCAUUGAUACCAAUGCAUAUGUAGCAUAGAUCCUUGCUUGCGAGUACUUUGGAUGAGUACUCACGGUUGCUUUGCUACUUCUUAUCCCCUUUUCCCGGUUAUUGCGAUCAUAUGAUGGAGUCCAGGAGCCAGAGGAUCUCGAGGAUGGUUCUACAUGGAGUUCGACUUCUAGGAGUAGUUAGGAGGUCCCGGGCAGGAGGCCUUGCCUUUUCGAUCAUUGCUACUUUUAUGCUAGCUUUCUUAAGGCAAACUUAUUUAACUUAUGUCUGUACUCAGAUAUUGUUGCUUCCACUGACCCUAGUGUUUUCGAGCUUAUGUAUUCGAGCCCUCGAGGCCCCUGGCUUGUAAUAUAAAUCUUAUAUUAUUUUAAUUUGUGUCUAGAGUUGUGUUGUGGUAUCUUCCCAUGAGUCCUUGAUCUUGAUCGUACACAUUUGUGUGUAUGAUUAGUGUACGAUUGAAUCAAGGGCAUCACAAGUUGGUAUCAGAGCCGACUGCCUGUAGGAAUCCCCCUUCCACACUCCUUGGCCGAAGUCGCGUCUAGACAUUGCAAAACUGUUACUAACAUGGUUGUGCGGCUUACGGGCCCAAGUCGCCAUUUGGUGGUAUUAGGAUCUUUUACUCCUCGUCUAUACUCUGGGACUCUGCUCUCUAUUCUAUUCGGGUUAAAUGAUUUUACUAACUCUGACUCUAGGUUCUCGUAAUUACUUCCUCCCGGAGAGCCCCUUACUCUAGAUGAUUACUUAGUGCACCAAAAGAUUUCGAAGAUACUCUCCGAUAUUCUCUCGAGACCUUGUGCCUAUUGCUUUUGCAAUUCCCUACCACUGAACUAUCCCUAUGGAUAAAUGCUUACACCUGCCAUUCUUGCUUUUAUUCCCAGUCGAUCUUGUUAUUACAAGAAACCCCGAGAAUACUUUGUGCCACUACCUUGUAGUUCCUUGCCGCAGAAAUACCCCUAUGGAUAAUUCCUCGCACUUAUCGAGCAUCUUCUCAUUCCCAGUUGUUCAUGUGUUUCGCAAAAGUCUUCCAAAUACCAUUCGGUCUUCCAAAAAUCCUAAGUAGCCCAUUGUUGGAAAUAUGCCCUAGAGGCAAUAAUAAAAUGGUUAUUAUUAUAUUUCCUUGUUCAUGAUAAUUGUCUAUUGUUCAUGCUAUAAUUGUGUUAUCCGGAAAUCGUAAUACAUGUGUGAAUAUAUAGACCACAACAUGUCCCUAGUAAGCCUCUAGUUGACUAGCUUGUUGAUCAGUAGAUGGUUACAGUUUCCUGACCAUGGACAUUGGAUGUCAUUGAUAACGGGAUCACAUCAUUAGGAGAAUGAUGUGAUGAACAAGACCCAAUCCUAAGCAUAGCACAAGAUCGUGUAGUUCGUCUGCUAGAGCUUUUCUAAGUGUCAAGUAUCAUUUCCUUAGACCAUGAGAUUGUGUAACUCCCGGAUACCGUAGGAGUGCUUUGGGUGUACCAAACUUCACAACGUAACUGGGUGGCUAUAAAUAUACACUACAGGUAUCUCCGAAAGUGUCUGUUGGGUUCGCAUGAAUCGAGACUGGGAUUUGUCACUUUGUAUGACGGAGAUGUAUCUCUGGGCCCACUCGGUAAUGCAUCAUCAUAAUGAGCUCAGUGUGACUAAGUAGUUGGUCACGGGAUAAUGUGUUACAGAACUAGUAAAGUGACUUGCCGGUAACGAGAUUGAACAAGGUAUUGGGAUACCGAUGAUCGAAUCUCGGGCAAGUAACGUAUCGAUUGACAAAGGGAAUUGAAUAUGGGAUUGAUUGAAUCCUCGACAUUGUGGUUCAUCCGAUGAGAUCAUCAUGGAAUAUGUGGGAGCCAACAUGGGUAUCCAGAUCCCGCUGUUGGUUAUUGGCCGGAGAGUUGUCUCGGUCAUGUCUGCAUGGUUUUCGAACCCAUAGGGUCUACACACUUAAGGUUCGGUGACGCUAGGGUGGUAGAGAUAUUAGUAUGCGGUAACCCGAAAGUUGUUCGGAGUCCCGGAUGAGAUCCCGGACAUCACGAGGAGUUCCGGAAUGGUCCGGAGGUAAAGAUUUAUAUAUAGGAAGACCAGUUUCGGCCAUCGGGAAAGUUUCGGGGGUCAUCGGUAUUGUACCGGGACCACCGGAAGGGUCCCGGGGGUCCAUGGGGUGGGCCCACCUAUCCCGGAGGGCCCCAUGGGCUGAAGUGGGAAGGGAACCAGCCCCUAGUGGGCUGGUGCGCCCCCCUUGGGCCUCCCCCUGUGCCUAGGGUUGGAAACCCUAGGGGUGGGGGCGCCUCCACUUGGCUUGGGGACCAAGCCACCCCUUGGCCACCGCCCCCAUCUAGAUGGGAUUUAGAGGGGCUGGCGGCCCCCUGGCCCCUAUAUAUAGUGGAGGGGAGGGAGGGAAGCCGCACCCAAGUCCCUGGCGCCUCCCUCUCCCUCCGUGACACCUCUCCCUCUCGUUGGUGCUUGGCGAAGCCCUGCCGAGAUCCUGUUGCUUCCACCACCAUGCCGUCGUGCUGCUGGAUCUCCAUCAACCUCUCCUCUCCCCUUGCUGGAUCAAGAAGGAGGAGACGUCUCUCCCAACUGUACGUGUGUUGAACACUGAGGUGCCGUCCGUUCGGCGCUCGGUCAUCGGUGAUUUGGUUCACGACGAGUACGACUCCAUCAACCCCGUUCUCUUGAACACUUCCACUCGCGAUCUACAAGGGUAUGUAGAUGCACUCCUCUUCCCCUCAUUGCUAGAUGGCUCCAUAGAUUGAUCUUGGUGAUGUGUAGAAAAAAUUUAAAUUUCUGCUACGUUCCCCAAUAGUGGCAUCAUGAGCUAGGUCUAUGCAUAGUUUCUAUGCGCGAGUAGAACACAAGUUGUUGUGGGCGUUGAUUUUGUCAAUUUACUUGCCGUUACUAGUCUUAUAUUGAUUCGGCGGCAUCGUGGGACGAAGCGACCUGGACCAACCUUACACGUACGCUUACGUGAGACUGGUUCCACCGACUGACAUGCACUAGUUGCAUAAGGUGGUUGGCAGGUGUCUGUCUCUCCCACUUUAGUCGGAUCGGAUUCGAUGAAAAGGGUCCUUAUGAAGGGUAAAUAGAAAUUGGCAUAUCACGUUGUGGUUUUGGCGUAGGUAAGAAACGUUCUUCCUAGAAACCUAUAGCAGCCACGUAAAAACUUGCAACAACAAUUAGAGGACGUCUAACUUGUUUUUGCAGCAUGUGCCAUGUGAUGUGAUAUGGCCAAAAGGAUGUGAUGAAUGAUAUAUGUGAUGUAUGAGAUUGAUCAUGUUCUUGUAAUAGGAAUCACGACUUGCAUGUCGAUGAGUAUGACAACCGGCAGGAGCCAUAGGAGUUGUCUUAAUUUAUUUAUGACCUGCAUGUCAACAUAAACGUCAUGUAAUUACUUUACUUUAUCGCUAACCGUUAGCCAUAGAAGUAGAAGUAAUAGUUGACGAGACAACUUCAUGAAGACACGAUGAUGGAGAUCAUGAUGAUGGAGAUCAUGGUGUCAUGCUGGUGAUGACGAUGAUCAUGGCGGCCCGAAGAUGGAGAUCAGAAAGAGCAAAAUGAUAUUGGCCAUAUCAUGUCACUAUUUGAUUGCAUGUGAUGUUUAUCAUGUUUUACAUCUUAUUUGCUUAGAACAACGGUAGCAUAAAUAAGAUGAUCCCUCGCAAUAAUUUCAAGAAAGUGUUCCCCCUAACUGUGCAUCGUUGCUAAGGUCUGUUGUUUUGAAGCACCACGUGAUGAUCGAGUGUGAUAGGUUCUAACGUUCGCAUACAACGGGUGUAAGCCAGAUUUACACACACAAUACACUUAGGUUGACUUGACGAGCCUAGCAUGUACAGACAUGGCCUCGGAACACGGAAGACCGAAAGGUCGAACAUGAGUCGUAUAGAAGAUACGAUCAAUAUGAAGAUGGUCACCGAUGAUGACUAUUCCGUCUCACGUGAUGAUCGGACACGGCCUAGUUGAAUCGGAUCAUGUAUCACUUAGAUGACUAGAGGGAUGUCUAUCUGAGUGGGAGUUCAUUAAUAAUUUGAUUAGAUGAACUUAAUUAUCAAGAACAUAGUCUAAAAUCUUUGCAAUAUGUCUUGUAGAUCAAAUGGCCCACGCUAAUGUUGUCCUCAACUUCAACGUGUUCCUAGAGAAAACCAAGCUAAAAGACUAUGGUAGCAACUAUACGGACUGGGUCUGGAACUUGAGGAUCAUCCUCAUAGCUGCCAAGAAAGCAUAUGUCCUUGAAGCACCUCUAGGUGAAGCACCACCCCCAGCAAACCAAGACGUUAUGAACGCUUGGCAGUCCCGUGUUGAUGAUUACUCCCUGGUUCAGUGCGGCAUGCUUUACAGCUUAGAACUGGGGCUCCAGAAGCGUUUUGAGCAACACGGAGCAUAUGAGAUGUUCCAAGAGCUGAAAAUGGUUUUCCAAGCUCAUGCCCGGGUCGAGAGAUAUGAAGUCUCCAACAAGUUCUACAGUUGUAAGAUGGAGGAGAAUAGUUCCGUUAGCGAGCACAUACUCAAAAUGUCUGGGUUGCACAACCGCUUGUCUCAGCUGGGAGUUAAUCUCCCGGAUGAUGCGGUCGUUGACAGAAUCCUUUUGUCGCUCCCACCUAGCUACAAGAGCUUUGUGAUGAACUUCAAUAUGCAAGGGAUGGAAAAGACCAUUCCUGAGGUAUAUUCGAUGUUGAAAUCAGCGGAGGUGGAAAUCAAAAAGGAACAUCAAGUGUUGAUGGUGAAUAAAACCACUAAGUUCAAGAAAGGCAAGGGUAAAAAGAACUUCAAGAAGGACGGCAAGGGGGUUGCCACGCCCGGUAAGCAAGCUGCCGGGAAGAAGCCAAAGAAUGGACCCAAGCCUGAGACUGAGUGUUUUUAUUGCAAGGGAAGUGGUCACUGGAAGCGGAACUGCCCCAAGUACUUAGCGGACAAGAAGGCCGGCAACACCAAAGUUAUAUGUGAUAUACAUGUUAUUGAUGUGUACCUUACCAGUACUCGUAGUAGCUCCUAGGUAUUUGAUACCGGUGUGGUUGCUCAUAUUUGUAACUCAAAAUAGGAGCUGCGGAAUAAGCGGAGACUGGCGAAGGACGAGGUGACGAUGCGCGUCGGGAAUGGUUCCAAGGUCGAUGUGAUCGCCGUCGGCACGCUGCCUCUACAUUUGCCUACGGGAUUAGUUUUAAACCUCAAUAAUUGUUAUUUAGUGCUAGCUUUGAGCAUGAACAUUGUAUCAGGAUCUCAUUUAAUACGAGAUGGCUACUCAUUUAGAUCCGAGAUUAAUGGUUGUUCUAUUUAUAUGAGAGAUAUGUUUUAUGGGCAUGCCUCGCUGGUCAAUGGUUUAUUCUUAUUUAAUCUCGAACGUGAUGUUACACAUAUUCAUAGUGUGAAUGCCAAAAGAUGUAAGGUUGAUAAUGAUAGUCCCACAUACUUGUGGCACUGCCGCCUUGGUCACAUUGGUGUCAAACGCAUGAAGAAACUCCACGCAGAUGGACUUUUGGAGUCUCUAGAUUAUGAAUCAUUUGACACGUGCGAACCAUGCCUCAUGGGCAAAAUGACCAAGACUCCGUUCUCCGGAACAAUGGAGCGAGCAACCAACUUAUUGGAAAUCAUACAUACUGAUGUGUGCGGUCCAAUGAGUGUUGAGGCUCACGGUGGCUAUCGUUAUGUUCUCACCCUCACUGAUGACUUGAGUAGAUAUGGGAAUGUCUACUUAAUGAAACACAAGUCUGAGACCUUUGGAAAGUUCAAGGAAUUUCAGAGUGAGGUUGAGAAUCAACGUGACAGGAAAAUCAAGUUCUUGCGAUCAGAUCGUGGGGGAGAAUAUUUGAGUCAUGAAUUUGGCACGCACUUAAGGAAAUGUGGAAUAGUUUCACAACUCACGCCGCCUGGAACACCUCAGCGUAAUGGUGUGUCCGAACGUCGUAAUCGCAUUCUAUUGGAUAUGGUGCGAUCUAUGAUGUCUCUUACCGAUCUACCGCUGUCAUUUUGGGGCUAUGCUUUAGAGACUGCCGCAUUCACUUUAAAUAGGGCUCUGUCGAAAUCUGUUGAGAUGACACUGUAUGAAUUAUGGUUUGGGAAGAAACCUAAGCUGUCGUUUCUAAAAGUUUGGGGAUGCGAUGCUUAUGUGAAGAAACUUCAACCUGAAAAGCUCGAACCCAAAUCGGAAAAAUGCAUCUUCAUAGGAUACCCUAAAGAAACUAUUGGGUAUACCUUCUACCUCAGAUCCAAAGGCAAGAUCUUUGUUGCCAAGAAUGGAUCCUUUCUAGAGAAAGAGUUUCUCUCGAAAGAAGUAAGUGGGAGGAAAGUAGAACUUGAUGAAGUAUUGCCUCUUGAACCGGAGAGUGGCGCAGCUCAAGAAAAUGUUCCUGAGGUGCAUGCACCGACUAGAGAGGAAGUUAAUGAUGAUGAUCAUGAAACUUCAGAUCAAGUUGCUACUGAACUUCGUAGGUCCACAAGGACACGUUCCGCACCAGAGUGGUACGGCAACCCUGUCCUGGAAAUCAUGUUGUUAGACAAUGGUGAACCUUCGAACUAUGAAGAAGCAAUGGCGGGCCCAGAUUCCGACAAAUGGCUGGAAGCCAUGAAAUCUGAGAUAGGAUCCAUGUAUGAAAACGAAGUAUGGACUUUGACUGACUUGCCCGAUGAUCGUCGAGCCAUAGAAAAUAAAUGGAUCUUUAAGAAGAAGACAGACGCGGAUGGUAAUGCGACCAUCUAUAAAGCUCGGCUUGUUGCUAAGGGUUAUCGACAAGUUCAAGGGGUUGACUACGAUGAGACUUUCUCACUCGUAGCGAAGCUGAAGUCCGUCCGAAUCAUGUUAGCAAUCGCCGCAUUCUAUGAUUAUGAGAUAUGGCAAAUGGACGUCAAAACGGCAUUCCUUAAUGGUUUCCUUAAGGAAGAAUUGUAUAUGAUGCAGCCGGAAGGUUUUCUCGAUCCUAAGAAUACUGACAAGGUGUGCAAGCUCCAACGCUCGAUCUAUGGGCUGGUGCAAGCAUCUCGGAGUUGGAACAUUCGUUUUCAUGAGAUGAUCAAAGCGUUUGGGUUUACGUAGACUUAUGGAGAAGCCUGCGUUUACAAGAAAGUGAGUGGGAGCUCUGUAGCAUUUCUCAUAUUGUAUGUGGAUGACAUACUAUUGAUGGGAAAUGAUAUAGAAUUCUUGGAAAGCAUAAAGGCCCACUUGAACAAGUGUUUUUCAAUGAAGGAUCUUGGAGAAGCUACUUACAUAUUAGGCAUCAAGAUCUAUAGAGAUAGAUCGAGACGCCUCAUUGGUCUUUCACAGAGUACGUACCUUGACAAGAUAUUGAAGAAGUUCAAUAUGGAUCAGUCAAAGAAGGGGUUCUUGCCUGUGUUCCAAGGUACGAGAUUGAGCACGGCUCAAUGCCCGACCACGGCAGAAGAUAGAGAAAAGAUGAGUGUCGUCCCCUAUGCCUCAGCCAUAGGGUCUAUCAUGUAUGCCAUGCUGUGUACCAUACCUGAUGUAAACCUUGCCGUAAGUUUGGUAGGAAGGUACCAAAGUAAUCCCGGCAUGGAACACUGGACAGCGGUCAAGAAUAUCCUAAAGUACCUGAAAAGGACUAAUGAUAUGUUUCUCGUUUGUGGAGGUGACGAAGAGCUCGUCGUAAAUGGUUACGUCGAUGCUAGCUUCGACACAGAUCUGGAUGAAUCCAAGUCACAAACCGGAUACGUGUAUAUUUUGAAUGGUGGGGCAGUUAACUGGUGCAGUUGCAAGCAAAGCGUCAUGGCGGGAUCUACAUGUGAAGCGGAGUACAUGGCAGCCUCGGAGGCAGCACAAGAAGCAAUCUGGGUGAAGGAGUUCAUUACCGACCUAGGAGUUAUUCCCAAUGCGUCGGGCCCGAUGACUCUCUUCUGUGACAACACUGGAGCUAUUGCCCUUGCCAAGGAGCCCAGGUUUCACAGGAAGACCAGGCAUAUCAAGCGUCGCUUCAACUCCAUUUGUGAAAAUGUUCAAAAUGGAGACAUAGAUAUUUGUAAAGUGCAUACAGACCUGAAUGUCGCAGAUCCGUUGACUAAACCUCUCCCUCGAGCAAAACAUGAUCAACACCAGAACUCUAUGGGCGUUCGAUUCAUCACAAUGUAACUAGAUUAUUGACUCUAGUGCAAGUGGGAGACUGUUGGAAAUAUGCCCUAGAGGCAAUAAUAAAAUGGUUAUUAUUAUAUUUCCUUGUUCAUGAUAAUUGUCUAUUGUUCAUGAUAUAAUUGUGUUAUCCGAAAAUCGUAAUACAUGUGUGAAUAUAUAGACCACAACAUGUCCCUAGUAAGCCUCUAGUUGACUAGCUCGUUGAUCAAUAGAUGGUUAUGGUUUCCUGACCAUGGACAUUGGAUGCCAUUGAUAACGGGAUCACAUCAUUAGGAGAAUGAUGUGAUGGACAAGACCCAAUCCUAAGCAUAACACAAGAUCGUGUAGUUUGUCUGCUAGAGCUUUUCUAAGUGUCAAGUAUCAUUUCCUUAGACCAUGAGAUUGUGCAAGUCCCGGAUACCGUAGGAGUGCUUUGGGUGUACCAAACGUCACAACAUAACUGGGUGGCUAUAAAGAUACACUACAGGUAUCUCCGAAAGUGUCUGUUGGGUUGGCAUGAAUCGAGACUGGGAUUUGUCACUCCGUAUGACGGAGAGGUAUCUCUGGGCCCACUCGGUAAUGCACCAUCAUAAUGAGCUCAGUGUGACUAAGUAUUUGGUCACGGGAUGAUGUGUUACGGAACGAGUAAAGUGACUUGCCGGUAACGAGAUUGAACAAGGUAUUGGGAUACCGACGAUCGAAUCUCGGGCAAGUAACGUACCGAUUGACAAAAGGGAAUUGAAUACGGGAUUGAUUGAAUCCUCGACAUCGUGGUUCAUCCGAUGAGAUCAUCGUGGAAUAUGUGGGAGCCAACAUGGGUAUCCAGAUCCCGCUGUUGGUUAUUGGCCGGAGAGUUGUCUCGGUCAUGUAUGCAUGGUUCCCAAACCCGUAGGGUCUACACACUUAAGGUUCGGUGACGCUAGGGUUGUAGAGAUAUUAGUAUGCGGUAACCCGAAAGUUGUUCAGAGUCCCAGAUGAGAUCCCGGACGUCAUGAGGAGUUCCAGAAUGGUCCGGAGGUAAAGAUUUAUAUAUAGGAAGACCAGUUUCGGCCACCGGGAAAGUUUCGGGGGUCACCGGUAUUGUACCGGGACCACCGGAAGGGUCCCGGGGGUCCAUCGGGUGGGGCCACCUAUCCCGGAGGGCCCCAUGGGCUGAAGUGGGAAGGGAACCAGCCCCUGGUGGGCUGGUGCGCCCCCCUUGGGCCUCCCCCUGCGCCUAGGGUUGGAAACCCUAGGGGUGGGGGCGCCUCCACUUGGCUUGGGGGCCAAGCCACCCCUUGGCCGCCGCCCCCCGUCUAGAUGGGAUCUAGAGGGGCCGGCGCCCCCCUGGCCCCUAUAUAUAGUGGAGGGGAGGGAGGGCAGCCGCACCCAAGUCCCUGGCGCCUCCCUCUCCCUCUGUGACACCCCUCCCUCUCGUUGGUGCUUGGUGAAGCCCUGCCGAGAUCCCGCUGCUUCCACCACCACACCGUCGUGCUGUUGGAUCUCCAUCAACCUCUCCUCUCCCCUUGCUGGAUCAAGAAGGAGGAGAUGUCUCUCCCAACCGUACAUGUGUUGAACGUGGAGGUGUCAUCCGUUCGGCGCUUGGUCAUCGGUGAUUUGGAUCACAACGAGUACGACUCCAUCAACCCCGUUCUCUUGAACGCUUCCGCUCGCGAUCUACAAGGGUAUGUAGAUGCACUCCUCUUCCCCUUGUUGCUAGAUGACUCCAUAGAUUGAUCUUGGUGAUGCGUAGAAAAUUUUUAAAUUUCUGCUACGUUCCCCAACACCCAUUGCUCUUGAAAUUCUUGCUUGCUUGCAUUAUGGUUAAUCCCAUAAGUCUCGUAAUCUUAUUGCAUCCCUUGUCAUUAUCAUUUUGAUUCCAUUGAUUCAAUAUGUUGUGAAUGCUCGCAAUCCUCAAUCAGAUCCUAGAAUUCAUCCUUCCAGCUCAGAUGUCAUUUUAAACAUGAGCUAGAUCUCGACCAAUCAAAUUGCCAUUGAUUGUACUCCUAAGCCUACUCAACUUAUCCAUCCUUGAUCAGAUGUUUGCUUAUGAUCCCUUGAUUUGAAGAUCAUAAUUCCUUUGCAUUAGAGCUUUGAAUUAGCCAGUUGUUUCCAUAAUCUAAUCUCCUUGCAUUCCUUCUUCCUCUAGUUGAGUACCGAUACUCACAUCAGAUCCCUUGUGGACCACCAAAUCCUUUGUUGAAUUAUCAUCCGACAGUGUCCUUCGUAUACAAAAACCUCGAGAACUUAUUUUCCCUGAUACAUAAUACCAUUGGUAAGUCCUAUUCUAUGAUUUGGCCAACCAUGCUCUGCUUUCGAGCUGGUGAUAUUUACUAUUGAAGCUUGUGGUAUAUGUUUCCAUGAUGCCCCGAUGGGUUGAACCCAUGCCUUCCUUAAUAUGUGUGAACUCAAAAGUUUUCACGAGUCAUACUCGUCUGGUAUUUUGCCAGAUAAAAUUUCAACACUAAAACUUCAUCGAACACGAGAAGUGAAUGAAAGGUUAUGCAUUAAAGAAGUGGGAGUCGACCUUGAACUUGUGUUCAUGCCCAUGGACCCGAUGUGGAACUUAUCAUGGAAGCUUCUUGCAAAAUAUUUAAUCAUUUGAGUAAUUCUUUCGGUGUCAUUAAAUUGGAUCCCCUGUAGCUAUGGUUUCGACCAUAUUGUUCUUCUUAAUUUGAUCCCUUUCUCAGGCAAGUUUAAGCAUUUGUCUUCUGCGGAUCAAUACCCCAGUCCAACCUUUACUUUGAUCUACCAUCGAGUAUUACACUCCGGUAUCUCGAGAAUAUCAUGGAACUGCAUAACUUCUUAUGGAUUCUUCAUCAACUAUUUUUUCUCACGAUUCCAAUUUUCCUGGUUUCUGGGUUGUCGGCAACUGAGAACACCGAUUAGUGAAUCGAGCCGCACUCUCAUUCAAUAACUCUAAGUAAUUUUCAUUGCUUACGAGUUUGUUAAUCCUUCAAUUCAUUCCUAUCUUGAUCGGCUAUACCAUUAUCAUGCUAAAUUUUAAUUGUGCUAGCUGGUCCUUCCUGGAGCACAAUUUUCGACGAUGAGCUAACCUUACGUCGAUCUUCCGGGUCUUAUCGUUUCACCUCGAACAACACGCUUGACUCCGAGUUGGCGUCAUACCCUUGAUUCCAAUAUCCUUUUGCUUCAUCAUUCCUUUGACUUGAUGCCAUCGUCGCCGAUUACAUAUUCAUGAAACCUCUCGACAAAUGUGUCGUGAUCAUCAUCUACAUUCUGAGCAUUUCCAGGAUAUCAAUCGAAUUCAUGAUGAGAGAUAUCAUCCUUGCCACCACGAUGAUUGUGUUAACAUCGACAACAUUCUUGCAUUUUCGCAACACAAAACUGGUUCACGAUUUGUGUUGCACCUUGAGUUCCUUGCUAUCCAACUUAGGUUAUGUUCUACCUUGGUGUAUUACCAUCUUCUAUGUCAAGAAUGUUGUGAGAAUUUCACCACCUCUUAAGAAUUCUUGAUAUGGUGAUACUUCUUGCCAUAUCUGUUCAUUCCUUCAUCCCCGUGUUGUUUCUAACCGGAAAACCUACAAUUAAACUAUGAUGUGUGACUUCAAAACUUCUAGCAACACUAUUGCUUUGAAGUUAAUGGUCGAUGUUUCAUUCUUAGACCAUUGGUUAUUCAAUCACCAUUCUAACAUUUUACCUUAGCCCUUAUUUCGGGUGCACCUUUCAAUCAAUGUUUAAUCGAGUAUGUUUUCCUCGAGCAUACCUCAUUAUAUCAUUUGAUCUGGCAAAUGUUAUCUCCUUGUUCACUUAAUUGUGGAAACCCAUCUUUUGGAAAUCUCGAGGAAUUGUCUCUGAGUCUGUAAGCCACCCCCUCACCCCCUUUCCUUGGUUUAAUGAUGAACUCUUGUUUCAGAACUCGCCUUCAUAGUUCAUUUCCAAGAAUCUAAGAAUGACAUCUCGUCAAUUGUGCCACACCUUUUCUUCUCGGGCAGGCUGAGUCUGAGGUAUCCUAACACCAAUCAGAUCUGAAUCUCGGUCAGAUAUGAUGGUUGGAACAUAUUUCCAAGAGUUAUAGCAUUAGUCUUUAUAUGACCCGGUAAGAUGAUAUCAUGCCUAGCACACCUGGCCGGAUGACCUAUUGAUAUAGUAUCCUCUUUACCAAGGUUAGCAAUUCUUCCAUGAGGAAAUUGUAAGGCUUAUUCUAUAAGUUGUUCCUGAUGAAUCCUUUGAGUAUCCAAGUCUGAUAUUUACCCAAUGACCAUGGCAAUGCUAUCUCGAAGCAUGUCGGUGGUACUCCGAUUUUCAAUAAGAACAUUUGAAGCACAAUGCUAAAUUUCCAUUAUCAUUUAUCCUAACACCGUUGUAUGGGUAAUAUCAUGAGAUUCCUCCCCCCUUACCUAAAUGGUUUUCUACCUUCUAUCCUAUCAUGGAUAUCAUGCUCCGCUUGUCCUUGGGAAGGAUAUCCCCCUGAAAUAUGUGUGUAUACACAUUUUCCUUUCCAUUGUUCUGUUUAAACCUGAUAAUCACUUUUCCUUUCCAUUGGUUUGUUUAAACCUUCUUGUGAUCUAUAUUAUAUAAGCAGUAAUAUUUCCCUGCUUAUGAAACACCUCGUUGUACCACUCUAUCAGUAAGACCAUGUUACUUCUGUUGAUGAAAUUCCGGUAACCACCGAUGGACAAGAACUUUGCCUAUUGGUCUGCCUCGUUCAACGAGCAGGAAAAUGGUUCUCUUUGUCCCUCGCCCUUGGUACCGACCUUGUUGCCGACAUAACUGACAAGCGAUACUCUGACCUGCCUUGCUAUUGUGACCGUGCAAGAUGCCAACACCCUUUCUACUUUUAACCCACAUGGUGGGCCCAUAACCCACUGUUCCACAGGAUCGAAACCUGACUCUCCUGUACACCCUGUUAUCCAAGUUAUUCCUCGCGCUUGACUUCGUAUAUGAUUCAUGGUCCACCUGCCUAGUGAUCUAUUCUGGUAUCAGACGAAAUACUUACUCCCAUUUCUCUAAACCCCUUUCACGCUUCAUUUCAGGCAUCGAACGAUUGCCUGCUCGCUCGAAACUUCUCAGGGUACCUUCUUACUUUGCUCUCGAUAUCUUCUUAAGUUUCAAUUCGAGAGUUAAUUCUGCCACCUUUCCUGAUGUUAUCUACCGGAUAAGCAACAUGGUAGCGGUUCGUUCUUCCGAAGUUACCCCUUGUCCUUCGUACGUAAGUUGGAGUUCCCGAGCAAAGGAUGCCGACUUCAUCAUGAUGACCUGAAGCAGGGGAAUGGAGACAUCAACGUGAUGGGUCGACCUCUUCGAGAAGAGCAACUAAGACCGAGAACACUCGCUAGAAUUUCGUAACCAGAACCACCCCACCUUACGCCUCUUAAAUCUCGGGACAAGAUUUCUUGUAGUGGAGGAGAUUUGUGACACCCCGAUUGUUAAGCUACAGUAAACCCCUGCUAAUGAUUCCAUGUCACCGCUGUCACUAUAGUUAAUCUCGCGUUAGUUCAAAAUUGAGUCGAAAUUCAAAUUUAAAAUAAGGUCAAAUGGUAGAAGUUUUCAAACCUUAAAACUAAAAUGUUCUAUAGGAGGCAAAUAAUGUAUAGGUAAUUAGGUUGGAGAAUCCACAUUUUUAUAAAAUAUCUAAAUGCACUAAAAUGAUUUAAACAGUAGCAAAAACAUUAUUUAAAUGCCUUUGGUAUUUUAUAAAAUACUAAACUAUUUUAUCUUGGGUUAAAACCUUUUGUGGUAGUGGGUUAUUCUGGAACGUUAUUUUAGGAGCUAUUGUCAUUUUUUACUAACUAAAUAUAAUGUGGAUCUAAAAAUAAAACAGAGAAGAACAAAAAACAAAGGGAAUAAAAAAGAACAAAAAAAGAACACCCCUGGCCCAACUGGGCCUUGGCCUAGCCGACCAACCCAACCGGCCCAACCCUCCGCACUCUCCAUACCCCCCACAUCCCCCGAACCCUAAUCCCCGUCGCCCCACUCCCCACUCCCUCGUCUCUCCCUCCCCCCACCCCCGAUCCAGAUCGGAUCGGGCCGACCUCGUCGUCGUUGCCCGAAGCCGCCUCNNNNNNNNNNNNNNNNNNNNNNNNNNNNNNNNNNNNNNNNNNNNNNNNNNNNNNNNNNNNNNNNNNNNNNNNNNNNNNNNNNNNNNNNNNNNNNNNNNNNNNNNNNNNNNNNNNNNNNNNNNNNNNNNNNNNNNNNNNNNNNNNNNNNNNNNNNNNNNNNNNNNNNNNNNNNNNNNNNNNNNNNNNNNNNNNNNNNNNNNNNNNNNNNNNNNNNNNNNNNNNNNNNNNNNNNNNNNNNNNNNNNNNNNNNNNNNNNNNNNNNNNNNNNNNNNNNNNNNNNNNNNNNNNNNNNNNNNNNNNNNNNNNNNNNNNNNNNNNNNNNCCGGCCCCCCGCCCUCGCCCUUAUCCUCGCGACCCUGUCCAAUCUCCCCCGUCCACGCCGUUCGAUGCCCCGCCGCCGUCGCCUCCUCCACGACCGCUCCCACACCGACCCCUUUGGCGUCGCUGUCACCCGUCCUCCCCGCCGCCUCGCCAUCCCCGUCCUCCUCCCCGGGUUGUCGUCCUCGAGCCUUGUCGCCCCGUUCCCCUGUGCCGCAAGUGAGGCCCGACCUCCUCUCCCCCUCAUCCUCGUCCGCCCCUAUGCGUCGCAGCAGCCGUGCCCGCUGUCGUUGCUGCUCACCUCCGCGCCGGCCACACCCUACAUCCCCUACACGCCUCAUCGCUGCGCACACGAGCCCCGGCCACAGCCUUGGUCGCCCGCCGUGGCCAGCUCCUACUGUCGCGCGCUAGCCUCACCCCACUCCGGCCCCUCCUGCUCCUCACGUCACUUCGUGCACCCGCCUGCAGAAGCCCGUUGUCGGCCAUGCUACGUCUUGAACUUGCGUUGGUUUUCCCCGAAGAGGGAGGGAUGAUGCAGCAGAGUAGCGUAAGUAUUUCCCUCAGUUUUUGAGAACCAAGGUAUCAAUCCAGUAGGAGGCCACACUCAAGUCCCUCGUACCUGCACAAAGCGAUAGCUACUCGCAACCAACGCGAUUAGGGAUUGUCAAUCCCUUCACGGUCACUUACGAGAGUGAGAUCUGAUAGAUAUAAUAUUUUUGGUAUUUUUGGUAUAAAGAUGCAAAGUAAAAAGUAAAGGCAAAGUAAAAAAGCAAAGCAAGAUUAAAGUGGUGGAUAUUGAUAUGAUGAGAAUAGACCCGGGGGCCAUAGGUUUCACUAGUGGCUUCUCUCAAGAGCAUAAGUAUUCUAUGGUGGGUGAAUACUGUUGAGCAAUUGACAGAAUUGAGCAUAGUUAUGAGAAUAUCUAGGCUUGAUCAUGUAUAUAGGCGUCACGUCCAUGACAAGUAGACCGAAACGAUUCUGCAUCUACUACUAUUACUCCACUCAUCGACCGCUAUCCAGCAUGCAUCUAGAGUAUUAAGUUAAAAACAGAGUAACGCCUUAAGCAAGAUGACAUGAUGUAGAGAGAUAAAUUCAUGCAAUAUGAAAUAAACCCCAUCUUGUUAUCCUCGAUAGCAACGAUGCAAUAUGUGCCUUGCUGCCCCUUCUGUCACUGGGAAACGACACCACAAGAUCAAACCCAAAGCUAAGCACUUCUCCCAUGGCAAGAACUACCAAUCUAGUUGGCCAAACCAAACGAAUAAUUCGAAGAGACUUGCAAAGAUAACCAAUCAUACAUAAAAGAAUUCAGAGAAGAUUCAAAUAUUAUUCAUAGAUAGACUUGAUCAUAAACCCGCAAUUCAUCGGUCUCAACAAACACACCGCAAAAAGAAGAUUACAUUGAAUAGAUCUCCACGAGAGGGGGAGAACUUUGUAUUGAGAUUCAAAGAGAGAGAAGAAGCCAUCUAGCUACUAACUAUGGACCCGAAGGUCUGAGGUAAACUACUCACACUUCAUCGGAGAGGCUAUGAUGAUGUAGAAGCCCUCCGUGAUGACGGCCCUCUUCCGGUGGAGCUCCGGAAUAGGCCCCAAGAUGGGAUCUCGUGGAUACAGAAAGUUGCGGCAGUGGAAUUAGGUUUUUGGCUCCUGUUCUGAUCGUUUGGGGGUACGUAGGUAUAUAUAGGAGGAAGGAGUAUGCCGGAGGAGCACCGAGGGGCCCACGAGGCAGGGGGGCGCCCCCCCCCCCACCCUCAUCAUCGCCUCUUUUGUUCCUUGGAGCAGGGUCCAAGUCUCCUGGAUCACGUUCGGUGAGAAAAUCACGUUCCCGAAGAUUUUAUUCUGUUUGGACUCCGUUUGAUAUUCCGUUCCUUCGAAACACUGAAAUAGGCAAAAAAGAGCAAUUCUGGGCUGGGCCUUCGGUUAAUAGGUUAGUCCCAAAAAUAAUAUAAAAGUGGAAAAUAAAGCCCAAUAUAGUCCAAAACAGUAGAUAAUAUAGCAUGGAGCAAUCAAAAAUUAUAGAUACGUUGGAGACGUAUCAGGCAUCCACAAGCUUAAUUCCUGCUCGUCCUCGAGUAGGUAAAUGAUAAAAAGAGAAUUUUUGAUGCGGAGUGCUACUUGGCAUAAUUUCAAUGCAAAUCUUCUUAAUUGUGAUAUGAAUAUUCAGAUUAGAAAGAUUCAAGACAAAAGUUUAUAUUGACAUAAAAAUAACAAUACUUCAAGCAUACUAACAAAGAAAUUAUGUCUUCUCAAAAUAACAUGGCCAAAGAAACUUAUCCCUACAAAAUCAUAUAGUCUGGCUAUGCUCCAUCUUCACCACACAAAGUAUUUAAAUCAUGCACAACCCCGACGACAAGCCAAGCAAUUGUUUCAUACUCUAACUUUUUCAAAACUUUUUCAAUCUUCACGCAAUACAUGAGCGUGAGCCAUGGAUAUAGCACUAUAGGUGGAAUAGAAUGGUGGUCGUGGAGAAGUCAAAAAGGAGAAGAUUGUCUCACAUCAACUAGGCGUAUCAACGGGCUAUGGAGAUGCCCAUCAAUAGAUAUCAAUGUGAGUGAGUAGGGAUUGCCAUGCAACGGAUGCACUAGAGCUAUAAGUAUAUGAAAGCUCAAAAAGAAACUAAGUGGGUGUGCAUCCAACUUGCUUGCUCAUGAAGACCUAGGGCAAUUUUAGGAAGCCCAUCAUUGGAAUAUACAAGCCAAGUUCUAUAAUUUAAAAUUCCCACUAGUAUAUGAAAGUGAUAACUUGAGAGACUCUUUACUAUGAAGAUCAUGGUGCUACCUUGAAGCACAAGUGUGGUUAGAGGAUAGUAACAUUGUACCUUCUCUCUUUUUCUCUCAUUUUUUAUUUAUUUCUUUUUUUAUUUGGGCCUUUUCUCUUUUUUUAUGGCCUCUUUUUAUUUGGGCUUCUUUGCCUCUUUUUUUUAUUUUUCGUCCGGAGUCUCAUCUCGACUUAUGGGGGAAUCAUAGUCUCCAUCAUCCUUUCCUCACUUGGGACAAUGCUCUAAUAAUGAUGAUCAUCACACUUUUAUUUUUCUUACAACUCAACAAUUACAACUCGAUACUUAGAACAAAAUAUGACUCUAUAUGAAUGCAUCCGGCGCUGUACCGGGAUAUGCAAUAUGACAAUGAUGGAGUGUGUCAUGAUGAACUAGAUGGUGGAAAGUUGCAUGGAAAUAUAUCUCGGAAUGGCUAUGGAAAUGCCAUAAUAGGUAGGUAUGGUGGCUGUUUUGAGGAAGGUAUAUGGUAGGUGUAUGAUACCGGCGAAAGGUGCGCGGUAUUAGAGAAGCUAGCAAAGGUGGAAGGGUGAGAGUGCGUAUGAUCCAUGGACUCAACAUUAGUCAUAAAGAACUCAUAUACUUAUUGAAAAAAUCUAGAAGUUAUCAAAGCAAAUUAUUAUGGGCAUGCUCCUAGGGGGAUAGAUUGGUAGGAAAAUACCAUCGCUCGUCCCCGACCGCCACUCAUAAGGAAGACAAUCAAUAAAUAAAUCAUGCUCCGACUUCAUCACAUAACGGUUCACCAUACGUGCAUGCUACGGGAAUCACAAACUUUAACACAAGUAUUCUUUAAAUUCACAACUACUCAACUAGCAUGACUUUAAUAUUAUCACCUCCAUAUCUCAAAACAAUUAUCAUGCUUCAAUCUUUUCUUAGUAUUCAACACACUCAAAAGAAAGUUUCACAAAUCUUGAAUACCAAGCAUAUUAUUAUUAAGCAAAUUACCAUGCUAUUAAGAGCACUAUUCAAGAUAUCUUCCGAUAUUCCGAUAAAUCGGCCGAUUUAUCGCUUACCAUUGUUUGACCGAUAAGAUAAAUUGGCCGAUAAAUUAGCCGAUAUGGCGAUAAAUUGGCCGAUAUGCCGAUAAACUGGCCGAUUUACCCCUUAUCAUGGGUCGACCGAUAAGUUCUCGAUAAGCGAUAUCCCCAACAUUGAUUAAGAGACUCUCAAAAUAAUUUAAGUGAAGCAUGACAGAUCAAUAGUUUCUUUAAAACAAAUCCACCACCGUGCUCUAAAAGAUCUAAGUGAAGCACAUAGAUUAUAGCGCUCAAAAUAUAUAAGUGAAGCACAUAGAGCAAAACUACUUAGCUCAAAAGAUAUAAGUGAAGCACAUAGAGGAAAACUACUUAGCUCAAAAGAUAUAAGUGAAGCACAUAGAGUAUUCUAUCAAAUUUUAAUUCAUGUAUGGCUCUCUCAAAAGGUGUGUACAGCAAGGAUGAUUGUGGAAUACUAAGACACAAAGACACAAAUAAUACAAGACGCUCCAAGCAAAACACAUAUCAUGUUGGUGAAUAAAAAUAUAGCUCCAAGUAAAUUACCGAUGGAAGUGGACGAAAGAGGGGAUGCCUUCCGGGGCAUCCCCAAGCUUUGACUUUUUGGUGUACUUGGAUUAUCUUGGGGGUUCCAUGGGCAUCCCCAAGAUUAGGCUCUUGCCACUCCUUGUUCCAUGAUCCAUCAAAAGAAUUCACCCGAAACUUGAAAACUUCACAACACAAAACUCAAAAUAGAAAACUCGUGAGCUCCGUUAGCGAAACAAAACAAAAGAUCACUUCAAGGUACUGUAAUGAACUCAUUAUUUAUUUAUAUUGGUGUUAAACCUACUGUAUUCCAACUUCUCUAUGGAUUAUAAACUAUUUUACUAGCCAUAGAUUCAUCAAAAUAAGCAAACAACACAUGAAUAACAGAAUCUGUCAAAAAUAGAACAGUCUGUAGUAAUCUGUAGCUAGCGCAAGAUCUGGAACCCCAAAAAUUCUAAAAUAAAUUUAUGGACGUUAGGAAUUUAUAUAUUAAUCAUCUUCAAAAAGAAUUAACUAAAUAUCACUCUUCAAAUAAAAAUUACAGUAGUUCUCGUGAGCGCUAAAGUUUCUGUUUUUUACAGCAAGUUCAACAAGACUUUCCCCAAGUCUUCCCAACGGUUCUACUUGGCACGAACACUAAUUAAACACAAAAAACACAACCAAAACAGAGGCUAAAUAAUUUAUUUAUUACUAAGCAUGAGCAAAAAGCAAGGAAUAAAAAUAAAAUUGGGUUGCCUCCCAACAAGCGCUAUUGUUUAACGCCCCUAGCUAGGCAUAAAAGCGAGGAUAGAUCUAGGUAUUGCCAUCUUUGGUAGGAAAUCCAUAAGUGGAUCUCAUGAUAGUUUCAUAUGGUAAUUUUAUUUUCUUUCUUGGAAAGUGUUCCAUGCCAUUUUUAAUGGAAAUUCAAAUCUAAUAUUCCCUUCCUUCAUAUCAAUAAUCGCACCAACCGUUCUAAGGAAAGGUCUACCAAGAAUAAUAGGGCAAGAAGGAUUGCAAUCUAUAUCAAGAACAAUGAAAUCUACGGGCACAUAAUUCCUAUUUGCAACAAUAAGAACAUAAUUAAUCCUUCCCAUGGGUUUCUUAAUAGUAGAAUCCUCAAGAUGCAAGUUUAGAGAGCAAUCAUCAAAAUUACGGAAAUCUAGCAAAUCACACAAAGUCUUGGGAAUAGUGGAGACACUAGCACCCAAAUAACACAAAGCAUAAAACUCAUGAUCUUUAAUUUUAAUUUUAAUAGUUGGUUCCCACUCAUCAUAGAGCUUUCUAGGGAUAGAAACUUUCAACUCAAGUUUUUCUUCAUAAGAUUGCAUCAAGGCAUCAACAAUAUGUUCGGUGAAGGCUUUAUUUUGACUAUAAGCAUGUGGAGAAUUUAGCACGGAUUGCAACAAGGAAAUAAAAUCAAUUAAAGAGCAACUUUCAUAAUUAAAUUCCUUGAAAUCCAAUAUAGUGGGUUUAGCAACAUCUAGAUUUUUAUUUCUUUCAAUCCCACUUUCAUCAAUUUCAUCAUUAAGAUCUAAAUACUCCAAAUUUUUAGAACGCCAUCUAGGUAAAGGAAGAUCAUAUUCAGUUUCUUCAAGAUUAAUAUUGCAAAACAAAGAUUUAAUAGGGGACAAAUCAAUAACUUUUAGAUCUUCAUCUUGAUUUUCAUAGGAAUUGGAAGAACACGCUUUAAUAAAGGCAUCUUUGGAAGCAUGCAUCCUAGCGGUUCUUUCCUUGCACUCAUCAAUGGAAAUUCUCAUGGCUUUGAGAGACUCAUUGAUAUCAUGCUUAGGAGGAAUAGAUCUAAGCUUUAAAGAAUCAACCUCAAGGGAAAUUCUAUCAACGUUUCUAGCCAAAUCAUCAACUUUAAGCAAUUUCUCUUCAAGCAAAGCAUUAAAAUUCUUUUGUGAAUUCAUAAAUUCUUUAACACUAUUCUCAAAUUCAGAGGGCAUCUUAUUAUAAUUUCCAUAAGAGUUGUUGUAGGAAUUCCCAUAAUUAUUAGAAGGAUUACUAGGAUAUGGCCUAGGAUUAAAAUUCCCUCUAUAAGCGUUGUUACCAAAAUUAUUCCUACCAACAAAAUUCACAUCCAUAGAUUCAUUGUUAUUAUCAAUCAAAGUAGACAAAGGCAUAUCAUUAGGAUCAAAAGAAACACUCUUAGUAGCAAAUAAUUUCAUAAGUUCAUCCAUCUUUCCACUCAAAACAUUGAUUUCUUCUAUCGCAUGCACUUUUUUAUUAGAAGAUCUUUCAGUAUGCCAUUGAGAAUAAUUAACCAUAAUAUUAUCUAGGAGUUUAGUAGCAUCUCCUAAAGUGAUUUCCAUAAAAGUGCCUCCCGCGGCCGAAUCUAAAAGAUUUCUAGAAGCAAAAUUCAAUCCGGCAUAAAAAUUGUAUAAUCAUCCACAAAUUCAAACCAUGAGUAGGGCAAUUACGUAUCAUUAAUUUCAUUCUCUCCCAAGCUUGUGCAACAUGUUCAUGAUCAAGUUGUUUAAACUUCAUAAUAUCGUUUCUAAGAUAGAUGAUCUUAGCGGGAGGAAAAUACUUAGAGAUAAAAGCAUCUUUGCACGAUCUCUAAGCGAAAAAGGAAAUAGCUUCAAUUUAACGCCAUCAUUGUCGACAUCUUUUUUCUUUUGCAUAUCACAUAAAUCAACGAAGCUAUUCAGAUGAGUAGCGGCAUCUUCACUAGGAAGGCCGGCGAAUUGAUCUUUCAUAACAAGAUUCAACAAAGCAGCAUUGAUUUCACAAAUUCAGUAUUAGAAAGAGGAGCAAUCGAAGUGCUAAGGAAAUCAUUAUUAUUGGUAUUGGUGAAGUGACACAAUUUGGUAUUAUCUUGAGCCAUCGCGACAAACAAGCACACAAGCAAACAAGAGCAAACGGGCAAAAGAGGCAAAUAGAGAGGGAGGGUAGAGAGAGAGGGCGAAUAAAAUGGCAAGGGUGAAGUGGGGGAGAGGAAAAUGAGAGGCAAAUGGCAAAUAAUGUAAUGCGAGGGAUAGGGAUUGUGAUGGGUACUUGGUAUGUUGACUUUUUGUGUAGACUCCCCGGCAAUGGCGCCAUAAAUCCUUCUUGCUACGUCUUGAGCUUGCGUUGGUUUUCCCCGAAGAGGAAGGGAUGAUGCAGCAGAGUAGCGUAAGUAUUUCCCUCAGUUUUUUAGAACCAAGGUAUCAAUCCAGUAGGAGGCCACGCUCAAGUCCCUCAUACCUGCACAAAGCGAUAGCUACUCGCAACCAAUGCGAUUAGGGGUUGUCAAUCCCUUCACGGUCACUUACGAGAGUGAGAUCUGAUAGAUAUAAUAUUUUUGGUAUUUUUGGUAUAAAGAUCCAAAGUAAAAAAGUAAAGGCAAAGUAAAAAAAGCAAAGCAAGAUUAAAGUGAUGGAGAUUGAUAUGAUGAGAAUAGACCCGGGGGCCAUAGGUUUCACUAGUGACUUCUCUCAAGAGCAUAAGUAUUCUACGGUGGGUGAACAAAUUACUGUUGAGCAAUUGACAGAAUUGAGCAUAGUUAUGAGAAUAUCUAGGCAUGAUCAUGUAUAUAGGCAUCACGUCCGUGACAAGUAGACCGAAACGAUUCUGCAUCUACUACUAUUACUCCACUCAUCGACCGCUAUCCAGCAUGCAUCUAGAGUAUUAAGUUAAAAACAGAGUAACGCCUUAAGCAAGAUGACAUGAUGUAGAGAGAUAAAUUCAUGCAAUAUGAAAUAAACCCCAUAUUGUUAUCCUCGAUGGCAACGAUGCAAUACGUGCCUUGCUGCCCCUUCUGUCACUGGGAAAGGACACCGCAAGAUCGAACACAAAGCUAAGCACUUCUCCCAUGGAAAGAACUACCAAUCUAGUUGGCCAAACCAAACACAUAAUUCGAAGAGACAUGCAAAGAUAACCAAUCAUACAUAAAAGAAUUCAGAGAGGAUUCAAAUAUUAUUCAUAGAUAGACUUGAUCAUAAACCCGCAAUUCAUCGGUCUCAACAAACACACCGCAAAAAGAAGAUUACAUCGAAUAGAUCUCCACAAGAGAGGGGGAGAACUUUGUAUUGAGAUUCAAAGAGAGAGAAGAAGCCAUCUAGCUACUAACUAUGGACCCGAAGGUCUGAGGUAAACUACUCACACUUCAUCGGAGAGGCUAUGAUGAUGUAGAAGCCCUCCGUGAUGACGGCCCUCUUCCGGCGGAGCUCUGGAACAGGCCCCAAGAUGGGAUCUCGUGGAUACAGAAAGUUGCGGCGGUGGAAUUAGGUUUUUGGCUCAUGUUCUGAUUGUUUGGGGGUACGUAGGUAUAUAUAGGAGGAAGGAGUACGCCAGAGGAGCACCGAGGGGCCCACGAGGCAGGGGGCGCGCCCUAGGGGGGGCGCGACCCUCACCCUCGUGACCGCCUCUUUUGUUCCUUGGAGCAGGGUCCAAGUCUCCUGGAUCACGUUCGGUGAGAAAAUCACGUUCCCGAAGAUUUUAUUCUGUUUGGACUCCGUUUGAUAUUCCGUUUCUUCGAAACACUGAAAUAGGCAAAAAAAAUAGCAAUUCUGGGUUGGGCCUCCGGUUAAUAGGUUAGUCCCAAAAAUAAUAUAAAAGUGGAAAAUAAAGCCCAAUAUAGUCCAAAACAGUAGAUAAUAUAGCAUGGAGCAAUCAAAAAUUAUAGAUACGUUGGAGACGUAUUAGGCCACUACUCCCGCCGCUCUUCGUACCGUGCCCCCUAUGCUCGAUUCCAUCAAGCUACUGGUUCCGGCCGCCGUUGUCGUCGAUGCUCCAGUCAACUCCAGGCACUCUAGCAUCUCCUGUUUGCACCAAACGACUCGCGGUGCUGCCCUCGUUCGAAUGCACCACUCUGCUGCCCAUUUUGGUCGCCGGAGACCCAAACCCGAGCCCCACAGCCAUUUCGGCAGUCGUCGCCAGCGCGCCACCGCGCUGGAACGCAGGUGGGUCACCGCUAGGUGGACCCCGCGCGUCAGGACCGUCGUUAACGACUAAUGCGCCCGUUAAUAUACUACUGACCUCUGGGUCCCACCUCGCCAGUGAAUUAAAAUGGACUAAGCUGUGUUAACUAAAAUGUGUCGCUCACAUCUUGGACCCACCGUUAAAAACAGCCCCUAAUUAAAACGCGAGACACUAACAAGCGGGUUCCAUGUGUACAGUUGACUAGUUUGACCAGUCAAUUUGCAGACUGGACUUAUGCAGUGAAUGACAUGUGGACCCCACUGACCAUAUUGACCAGUCAACCUUGACUGGUCAACUGCUGAACGUACAUGCUGACUAAGCCCCCUGGACCCCACUGGUCAUACACAUAGACUAGCCAAUACCCUAGUAACAAAAGUAUUUAGGGAUUAAAAUUCUAAUUGAAUAAUUCCAUAAAUUCAGAAAACGAUUUAAAACUUUGAAAAUUAAUAGAAGAUAAACCAUACCUCGGAUGAAAAUACUUUGUACAUGAAAGUUCAUCAGAAAAAUGAGACGAAUCCGGAUACAUAGCCUGUUCUUCUGCCACACAUCCCUAGCAUAGAGAACAUGCAACUUUCCCCCUCCGGUUCGUUUGUUCGAAAACGCAAAGCACCGGGGAUACUUUCCCGGUAGUCCCCCCCCCCUUCGUCGAUAUCACCUCCUACUGCGUUAGGGCACACCUAGCACCAUUACUAGUCAUGUCAUGCAUCGAUAUGCAUCUGUUUGCAUUGUAUUCAUUAUUUCUUCCCCCUCUUCUCUCCGAUAGACUACGAGACUGACGCCGCUGCUGGUGCCCCGGUCGACUACUGAUGUCUACUACACAACCUUCUUCUUGUAGACGUUGUUGGUCCUCCAAGUGCAGAGGUUUGUAGGACAGUAGCAAAUUUCCCACAAGUGGAUGACCUAAGGUUUAUCAAUCCGUAGGAGGCGUAGGAUGAAGAUGGUCUCUCUCAACCAACCCUGCAACCAAAUAACAAAGAGUCUCUUGUGUCCCCAACACACCCAAUACAAAGGUAAAUUGUAUAGGUGCACUAGUUCGGCGAAGAGAUGGUGAUACAAGUGGUAUAUGGAUAGUAGAUAAUGGUUUUUGUAAUCUGAAAUUAUAAAAACAGCAAGGUAACUAAUGAUAAAAAUGAGCACAAACGGUAUUGCAAUGCUAGGAAACAAGGCCUAGGGUUCAUACUUUCACUAGUGCAAGUCCUCUCAACAAUAAUAACAUAAUUGGAUCACAUAACUAUCCCUCAACAUGCAACAAAGAGUCACUCCAAAGUCACUAAUAGCGGAGAACAAACGAAGAGAUUAUGGUAGGGUACGAAACCACCUCAAAGUUAUUCUUUCCAAUCAAUCCGUUGGGCUAUUCCUAUAAGUGUCACAAACAACCCUAGAGUUCGUACUAGAAUAACACCUUAAGACACAAAUCAACCAAAACCCUAAUGUCACCUAGAUACUCCAAUGUCACCUCAAGUAUCCGUGGGUAUGAUUAUACGAUAUGCAUCACACAAUCUUAGAUUCAUCUAUUCAACCAACACAUAGAACCUCAAAGAGUGCCCCAAAGUUUCUACCGAAGAGUCAAGACGAAAACGUGUGCCAACCCCUAUGCAUAGAUUCCCAAGGUCACGGAACCCGCAAGUUGAUCACCAAAACAUACAUCAAGUGGAUCAUAGAAUACCCCAUUGUCACCACAGGUAUCCCACACAAGACAUACAUCAAGUGUUCUCAAAACCUUAAAGACUCAAUCCGAUAACAUAACUUCAAAGGGAAAACUCAAUCCAUCACAAGAGAGUAGAGGGGGAGAAACAUCAUAAGAUCCAACUAUAAUAGCAAAGCUCGCGAUACAUCAAGAUCAUACCACCUCAAGAACAUGAGAGAGAGAGAGAGACAGAUCAAACACAUAGCUACUGGUACAUACCCUCAGCCCAAGGGAGAACUACUCCCUCCUCGUCAUGGAGAGCGCCGGGAUGAUGAAGAUGGCCACCGGAGAGGGAUUCCCCCUCUGGCAGGGUGCCGGAAUGGGUCUAAAUUGGUUUUCGGUGGCUACGGAGGCUUCUGGCGGCGGAACUCCCGAUCUAUUGUGCUCCCCGAAGUUUUUAGGGUAUAUGGGUAUAUAUAUAGGAGGAAGAUAUAUGUCGGUGGUGUUGGGGAACAUAGCAUAAAUUCAAAAUUUUCCUACGUGUCACCAAGAUCUAUCUAUGGAGUCAUCUAGCAACGAGGGAGGAGUGGAUCUACAUACCCUUGUAGAUCGCGCGCGGAAGCGUUCAAGAGAACGGGGUUGAUGGAGUCAUACUCGUCGUGAUCCAAAUCACCGAUGAUCCUAGCGCCGGACGGACGGCACCUCCGCGUUUAACACACGUACGGAGCAGCGACGUCUCCUCCUUCUUGAUCCAGCAAGGGGAAAGGAGAGGUUGAUGGAGAUCCAGCAGCACGACGGCGUGGUGGUGGAAGUAGCGGGAUUCCAAUAGGGCUUCGCCAAGCGCUGCGGGAGGAGGGAGAUGUGUCAUGGGAGGGAGAGGGAGGCUCCAGGGCUUAGGUGUUGCUGCCCUCCCUUCCCCUCACUAUAUAUAGGGCCAAGGGAGAGGGGGAGGGCGCAGCCUUGCCCCUUCCUCCAAGGAAGGGUGCGGCCAAGGGGGGGAGGAGUCCAUCCUCCCCAAGGCACCUCGGAGGUGCCUUCCCCCUUUAGGACUCUCCCCUCCUCUUGUCCCUUUGGCGCAUGGGCCUCUAGGGGCUGGUGCCCUUGGCCCAUGUAGGCCAAGGCGCACCCCCUACAGCCCAUGUGCCCCCCGGGGCAGGUGGCCCCACCCGGUGGACCCCCGGGACCCUUCCGGUGGUCCCGGUACAAUACCGGUGACCCCGAAACUUGUCCCGAUAGCCGAAAUAGCACUUCCUAUAUAUAAUUCUUUACCUCCGGACCAUUCCAGAACUCCUCGUGACGUCUGGGAUCUCAUCCGGGACUCCGAACAACUUUCGGGUUACCGCAUACUAAUAUCUCUAUAACCCUAGCGUCACCGAACCUUAAGUGUGUAGACCCUACGGGUUCGGGAACCAUGCAGACAUGACCGAGACGUUCUCUGCGGCCAAUAACCAACAGAGGGAUCUGGAUACCCAUGUUGGCUCCCACAUGCUCCUCGAUGAUCUCAUCAGAUGAACCACGAUGUCGAGGAUUCAAUCAAUCCCGCAUAUAAUUCCCUUUGUCUAUCGGUACGAUACUUGCCCGAGAUUCGAUCGUCAGUAUCCCGAUACCUUGUUCAAUCUCGUUACCGGCAAGUCUCUUUACUCGUUCCGUAACACAUCAUCCUGUGAUCAACUCCUUGAUCACAUUGUGCACAUUAUGAUGAUGUCCUAUCGAGUGGGCCCAGAGGUACCUCUCCGUCACACGGAGUGACAAAUCCCAGUCUCGAUUCGUGCCAACCCAACAGACACUUUCGGAGAUACCCGUAGUGCACCUUUAUAGUCUCCCAGUUACGUUGUGACGUUUGGCACACCCAAAGUAUUCCUACGGUAUCCGGGAGUUGCACAAUCUCAUGGUCUAAGGAAAUGAUACUUGACAUUAGAAAAGCUUUAGCGAACGAACUACACGAUCUUUGUGCUAGGCUUAGGAUUGGGUCUUGUCCAUCACAUCAUUCUCCUAAUGAUGUGAUCCCGUUAUCAACGACAUCCAAUGUCCAUGGUCAGGAAACCGUAACCAUCUAUUGAUUAACGAGCUAGUCAACUAGAGGCUUACUAGGGACAUGGUGUUGUCUAUGUAUCCACACAUGUAUCUGAGUUUCCUAUCAAUACAAUUCUAGCAUGGACAAUAAACGAUUAUCAUGAACAAGGAAAUAUAAUAGUAACGAAUUUAUUAUUGCCUCUAGGGCAUAUUUCCAACAGUCUCCCACUUGCACUAGAGUCAAUAAUCCAGUUCAUAUCGCUAUGUGACUAACACUCAAGGUCACAUCCCCAUGUGACUAACACCCAAAGAGUUUACUAGAGUCAAUAAUCUAGUUCACAUUACCAUGUGAUUAACACUCGAUGAGUUCUGGGUUUGAUCAUGUUAUGCUUGUGAGAGAUGUUAUAGUCAACGGGUCUGAAUCUUUCAGAUCCGUAUGUACUUCGCAAAUUUCUAUGUCAUCUUGUAGAUGCAACUACCACGCUACAUUUGGAGCUAUUCCAAAUAACUGUUCUACCAUACGAAUCCAGUUUACUACUCAGAAUAAUCUGGAUUAGUGUCAAAGUUUGCAUCGGCGUAACCCUUUACGACGAACUCUUUUACCACCUCCAUAAUCGAGAAAAUUCCUUAGUCCACUAGUUACUAAGGAUAACUUUGACCACUGUCUUGUGAUCCAUUCUUGGAUCACUCUUGUACCCCUUGACUGACUCAUGGCAAGGCACAUUUCAGGUGCGGUACACAGCAUAGCAUACUGUAGGGCCUAUGUCUUAAGCAUAGGGGACGACCUUCGUCCUUUCUCUCUAUUCUGCCGUAGUCGAGCUUUAAGUCUUAACUUCAUACCUUACAUCUCAGGCAAGAACUCCUUCUUUGAUUGAUCCAUCUUGAACACCUUCAAGAUCAUGUCAAGGUAUGUGCUCAUUUGAAAGUACUAUUAAGCGUUUUGAUCUAUCCUUAUAGAUCUUAAUGCUCAAUACUCAAGUAGCCUAAUCCAGGUUUUCCAUUGAAAAACACUUUUCAAAUAACCCUAUAUGCUUUCCAGAAAUUCUAUGUCAUUUCUGAUCAACAAUAUGUCAAUAACAUAUAUUCAUCAGAAAUUCUAUAGUGCUCCCACUCACUUCUUUGGAAAUACAAGUUUCUCAUAAACUUUGUAUACACCCAAAAUCUUUGAUCAUCUCAUCAAAGCAUACAUUCCAACUCCGAGAUGCUUACUCCAGUCCUUAGAAGGAUUGCUGGAGCUUUGCAUACUUAUUAGCAUCUUUCAGGAUUGACAAAAACCUUCCGGUUGUAUCACAUACAAUCUUUCCUCAAGAAAAUCGUCGAGGAAACAAUGUUUCGACAUCCUAUCUGCAAGAUUUCAUAAAUAAUGCAGUAAUCGCUAAUAUAAUUCCAACAGACUCUUAGCAUCGCUACGAGUGAGAAAGUCUUAUCAUAGUCAACUCCUUGAACUUGUCGGAAAAAAUCUUAACGACAAAUCGAGCUUUCUUAAUGGUGAUACUUACCAGCAUUGUCCGUCUUCCUUUUAAAAUCCAUCUGUACUCAAUAGCCUUACGACCAUCGAGCCGUUCUGCCAAAGUCUACACUUUGUUUUCAUACAUGGAUCCUCUCUCGGAUUUUAUGGCCUCGAGCCAUUUAUCGGAAUCUGGGCCCACCAUCGCUUCUCCAUGGCUCGUAGGUUCAUUGUUGUCUAGCAACAUGACUUCCAAGACAGGAUCACGUACCACUCUGAAGUAGUACGCAUCCUUGUCAUCCCACGAGGUUUGGUAGUGACUUGAUCUGAAGUUUCAUGAUCACUAUCAUAAGCUUCCACUUCAAUUGGUGUAGGUGCCACAGGAACAACUUCCUGUGCCCUGCCACACACUAGUUGAAGAGACGGUUCAAUAACCUCAUCAAGUCUCCACCAUCCUCCCACUCAAUUCUUUCGAGAGAAACUUUUCCUCGAGAAAGGACCCGAUUCUAGAAACAAUCCCUUAUUGUUUUCGGUUCUGAGACAGGAGGUAUACCCAACUGUUUUGGGUGUCCUAUGAAGAUGCAUUUAUCCGCUUUGGGUUCGAGCUUAUCAGCCUGAAACUUUUUCGCAUAAGUGUCGCAGCCCCAAACUUUUAAGAAAUGACAGCUUAGGUUUCUCUAAACCAUAGUUCAUACGGUGUCAUCUCAUCGGAAUUAUGUGGUGCCCUAUUUAAAGUGAAUGUGGUUGUCUCUAAUGCCUAACCCAUAAACUAUCGUGGUAAUUCGAUAAGAGACAUCAUGGUAUGCAUCAUAUCCAAUAGGGUGCAGUUAUGAUGUUCGGACACACCAUCACACUAUGGUGUUCCAGGCUGUAUUAGUUGUGAAACAAUUUCCACAAUGUCUUAAUUCUGUGCCAAACUCGUAAUUCAGAUAUUCAUCUCUAUGAUCAUAUCAUAGACAUUUUAUCCUCUUGUCACGACAAUCUUUCAACUUCACCCUGAAAUUACUUGAACCUUUCAAUAAUCCAGACUCAUGAUUCAUCAAGUAAAUAUACUCAAUAUCUACUCAAAUCAUCUGUGAAGUAAGAACAUAACGAUAUCCACUACACGCCUCAGCACUCAUUGGACUGCACACAUCAAAAUGUAUUACUUCCAACAAGUUGCUUUCUAGUUCCAUUUCACUGAAAACGAGGCUUUCAGUCAUCUUGCCCAUGUGGUAUGAUUUGCAUGUCUCAAGUGAUUCAAAAUCGAGUGAGUCCAAACGGUCCAUUUGCAUGGAGUUUCUUCAUGCAUAUACACCAAUAGACAUGGUUCGCAUGCCUCAAACUUUUCAAAAACGAGUGAGUCCAAAGAUCCAUCAACAUGGAGCCUCUUCAUGCGUUUUAUAUCGAUAUGACUUAAGUGGCAGUGCCACAAGUAGGUGGUACUAUCAUUACUAUCUUAUAUCUUUUGGCAUGAACAUGUGUAUCACUAUGAUCGAGAUUCAAUGAACCAUUCAUUUUAGGUGCAAGACCAUUGAAGGUAUUAUUCAAAUAAACAUAGUAACCAUUAUUCUCCUUAAAUGAAUAACCGUAUUGCGAUAGACAUAAUCCAAUCAUGCCAACGCAAACACCAAUCUCGAUGGUAGAGGGAGCGUGCGAUGCUUGAUCAUAUCAACAUUGGAAACACUUCCAACACAUAUCAUCAGCUCACCUUUAGCUAGUCUCCGUUUAUUCUGUAGCUUUUAUUUUGAGUUACUAACACUUAGCAACCGAACCGGUAUCUAAUACCCUGGUGCUACUAGGAGUACUAGUAAAGUACACAUCAACACAAUGUAUAUCCAAUAUACUUCUAUCGACCUUGCCAGCCUUCUCAUCUACCAAGUAUCUAGGGUAAUUCUGCUCCAGUGGCUGUUCCCCUUAUUACAGAAGCACUUAGUCUCGGGUUUGGGUUCAACCUUGGGUUUCUUCACUAGAGCAGCAGCUGAUUUGCCGUUUCAUGAAGCAUCCCUUUUGCCCUUGCCCUCCUUGAAACUAGUGGUUUCACAAACCAUCAACAAUUGAUGCUCCUUUUUGAUUUCUACUUUUGUGGUGUCAAACAUCGUGAAUAUCUCAAGGAUCAUCAUAUAUGUCCCCAAUACAUUAUAGUUCAUCACGAAGCUCUAGCAGCUUGGUGGUAAUGACUUCGGAGAAACAUCACUAUCUCAUUUGGAAGAUAAACUCCCACUUGAUUCAAAUGAUUGUUGUACUCAGACAAUCUGAGCACAAGCUCAACAAUUGAGCUUUUCUCCUUAGUUUGCAGGCUAAGAAAAUCGUCGGAGGUCUCAUACCUCUUGACGAGGGCACGAGUCCGAAAUCCCAAUUUCAGCCCUCGAAACAUCUCAUAUGUUUCGUGAUGUUUCAAAACGUCUUUGGUGCCUCAACUCUAAACCGUUUAACUGAACUAUCACGUAGUUAUCAAAAUGUGCAUGUCAGAUGUUCGCAACAUCCACAGACGACGUUCGAGGUUCAGCUCACUGAGCGGUGCAUUAAGGACAUAAGCCUUCUAUGAAGCAAUGAGGACAAUCCUCAGUUUACGGACCUAGUUCGCAUAAUUGCUACUAUCAACUUUCAACUAAAUUUUCUCUAGGAACAUAACUAAACAGUAGAACUGAAGCGCGAGCUACGACAUAAUUUGCGAAGACCUUUUGACUAUGUUCAGGAUAAUUAAGUUCAUCUUAUGAACUCCCACUCAGAUAGACAUCCCUCUAGUCAUCUAAGUGAUUACAUGAUCCGAGUCAACUAGGCCGUGUCCGAUCAUCACGUGAGACGGACUAGUCAACAUCAGUGAACAUCUUCAUGUUGAUCGUAUCUUCUAUACGACUCAUGCUCGACCUUUCGGUCUCUUGUGUUCCGAGGCCAUGUCUGUACAUGCUAGGCUCGUCAAGUCAACCUAAGUGUUUCGCGUGUGUAAAUCUGUCUUACACCCGUUGUAUGUGAACGUUAGAAUCUAUCACACCCGAUCAUCACGUGGUGCUUCGAAACAACGAACUUUCGCAACGGUGCACAGUUAGGGGGAACACCUUCUUGAAAUUUUAGUGAGGGAUCAUCUUAUUUACUACCGUCGUUCUAAGCAAAUAAGAUGUAUAAACAUGAUAAACAUCACAUGCAAUCAAAUAGUGACAUGAUAUGGCCAAUAUCAUAUUGCUCCUUUUGAUCUUCAUCUUCAGGGCUCCAUGAUCAUCAUCGUCACCGGCAUGACACCAUGAUCUCCAUCAUCAUGAUCUCCAUCAUCGUGUCUCCAUGAAGUUGUCUCGCCAACUAUUACUUCUACUUCUAUGGCUAUCGGUUAGCAGUAAAGUAAUUACAUGACGUUUAUGUUGACACGCAGGUCAUAAAUAAAUAAAGACAACUCCUAUGGCUCCUGCCGGUUGUCAUACUCAUCAACAUGCAAGUCGUGAUUCCUAUUACAAGAACAUGAUCAAUCUCAUACAUCACAUAUCAUUCAUCACAUUCUUCUUGGCCAUAUCACAUCACAUAGCAUACCCUGCAAAAACAAGUUAGACGUCCUCUAAUUGUUGUUUGCAUGUUUUACGUGGCUGCUAUGGGUUUCUAGCAAGAACGUUUCUUACCUAUGCAAAAACCACAACGUGAUAAGCCAAUUGCUAUUUACCCUUCAUAAGGACCCUUUUCAUCGAAUCCGAUCCGACUAAAGUGGGAGAGACAGACACCCGCUAGCCACCUUAUGCAACUAGUGCAUGUCAGUCAGUGGAACCGGUCUCACGUAAGCGUACGUGUAAGGUUGGUCCGGGCCGCGUCAUCCCACAAUGCCGCCGAAUCAAGAUUGGACUAGUAACGGUAAGCAUAUUGAACAAAAUCAACGCCCACAACUACUUUGUGUUCUACUCGUGCAUAGUAACUACGCAUAGACCUAGCUCAUGAUGCCACUGUUGGGGAACGUAGCAUAAAUUCAAAAUUUUCCUACGUGUCACCAAGAUAUCUAUGGAGUCAUCUAGCAACGAGGGGGGAGUGGAUCUACAUACCCUUGUAGAUCGCGCGCGGAAGCGUUCAAGAGAACGGGGUUGAUGGAGUCGUACUCGUCGUGAUCCAAAUCACCGAUGAUCCUAGCGCCGAACGGACGGCACCUCCAUGUUCAACACACGUACGGAGCAGCGACGUCUCCUCCUUCUUGAUCCAGCAAGGGGAAAGGAGAGGUUGAUGGAGAUCCAGCAGCACGACGGCGUGGUGGUGGAAGUAGCGGGAUUCCAACAGGGCUUCGCUAAGCGCUACGGGAGGAGGGAGAUGUGUCAUGGGAGGGAGAGGGAGGCGCCAGGGCUUAGGUGUUGCUGCCCUCCCUUCCCCUCACUAUAUAUAGGGCCAAGGGAGAGGGGGAGGGUGCAGCCUUGCCCCUUCCUCCAAGGAAGGGUGCGGCCAAGGGGGGGAGGAGUCCAUCCUCCCCAAGGCACCUCGGAGGUGCCUUCCCCCUUUAGGACUCUCCCCUCCUCUUGUCCCUUUGGCGCAUGGGCCUCUAGGGGCUGGUGCCCUUGGACCAUGUAGGCCAAGGCGCACCCCCUACAGCCCAUGUGGCCCCCGGGGCAGGUGGCCCCACCCGGUGGACCCCGGGACCCUUCCGGUGGUCCCGGUACAAUACCGGUGACCCAGAAACUUGUCCCGAUAGCCGAAAUAGCACUUCCUAUAUAUAAUUCUUUACCUCCGGACCAUUCCGGAACUCCUCGUGACGUCCGGGAUCUCAUCCGGGACUCCGAACAACUUUCGGGUUACCGCAUACUAAUAUCUCUAUAACCCUAGCAUCACUGAACCUUAAGUGUGUAGACCCUAUGGGUUCGGGAACCAUGCAGACAUGACCGAGACGUUCUCUGCGGCCAAUAACCAACAGCGGGAUCUGGAUACCCAUGUUGGCUCCCACAUGCUCCUCGAUGAUCUCAUCAGAUGAACCACGAUGUCGAGGAUUCAAUCAAUCCCGCAUACAAUUCCCUUUGUCUAUCGGUACGAUACUUGCCCGAGAUUCGAUCGUCAGUAUCCCGAUACCUUGUUCAAUCUCGUUACCGGCAAGUCUCUUUACUCGUUCUGUAACACAUCAUCUCGUGAUCAACUCCUUGAUCACAUUGUGCACAUUAUGAUGAUGUCCUACCGAGUGGGCCCAGAGAUACCUCUCCGUCACACGGAGUGACAAAUCCCAGUCUCGAUUCGUGCCAACCCAACAGACACUUUCGGAGAUACCCGUAGUGCACCUUUAUAGUCACCCAGUUACGUUGUGACGUUUGGCACACCCAAAGUAUUCCUACGGUAUCCGGGAGUUGCACAAUCUCAUGGUCUAAGGAAAUGAUACUUGACAUUAGAAAAGCUUUAGCGAACGAACUACACGAUCUUUGUGCUAGGCUUAGGAUUGGGUCUUGUCCAUCACAUCAUUCUCCUAAUGAUGCGAUCCCGUUAUCAACGACAUCCAAUGUCCAUGGUCAGGAAACCGUAACCAUCUAUUAAUUAACGAGCUAGUCAACUAGAGGCUUACUAGGGACAUGGUGUUGUCUAUGUAUCCACACAUGUAUCUGAGUUUCCUAUCAAUACAAUUCUAGCAUGGACAAUAAACGAUUAUCAUGAACAAGGAAAUAUAAUAAUAACCAAAUUAUUAUUGCCUCUACAGCAUAUUUCCAACAGGUGGAUCUCUGAUGUAUACUACACAACCUUCUUCUUGUAGACAUUGUUGGGCCUCCAAGUGCAGAGAUUUUUAGGACAGUAGCAAAUUUCCCUCAAGUGGAUGACCUAAGGUUUAUCAAUCCAUAGGAGGCGUAGGAUGAAGAUGGUCUCUCUGAAGCAACCCUGCAACCAAAUAACAAAGAGUCUCUUGUGUCCCCAACACACCCAUUACAAUGGUAAAUUGUAUAGGUGCACUAGUUCGGCGAAGAGAUGGUGAUACAAGUGCAAUAUGGAUAGUAGAUAAAGGUAUUUGUAAUCUGAAAAUAUAAAAACAGCAAGGUAACUAAUGGUAAAAGUGAGCGUAAACGGUAUUGCAAUGUGUGGAAAUAAGGCCUAGGGUUCAUACGUUCGCUAGUGUAAGUUCCCUCAACAAUAAUAUCAUAAUUGGAUCACAUAACUAUCCCUCAACAUGCAACAAAGAGUCACUCCAAAGUCACUAAUAGCGGAGAACGAACGAAGAGAUUAUGGUAGGGUACGAAACCACCUCAAAGUUAUUAUUUCCAAUCAAUCCGUUGGGCUAUUCCUAUAAGUGUCACAAACAGCCCUAGAGUUCGUACUAGAAUAACACCUUAAGACACAAAUCAACCAAAACCCUAAUGUCGCCUAGAUACUCCAAUGUCACCUCAAGUAUCCGUGGGUAUGAUUAUACGAUAUGCGUCACACAAUCUCAGAUUCAUCUAUUCAACCAACACAAAGGACCUCAAAGAGUGCCUCAAAGUUCUACCGGAGAAUCACGACGAAAACGUGUGCCAACCCCUAUGCAUAGGUUCAUGGGUGGAACCCGCAAGUUGAUCACCAAAACAUACAUCAAGUGAAUCACGUGGCAUCCCAUUGUCACCACAGAUACGCACUGCAAGACAUACAUCAAGUGUUCUCAAAUCUUUAAAGACUCAAUCCGAUAAGAUAACUUCAAAGGGUAAACUCAAUUCAUUACAAGAGAGAAGAGGGGGAGGAGAAACAUAAGAUCCAACUAUAAUAGCAAAGCUCGCGAUACAUCAAGAUCGUGCCAAAUCAAGAACACGAGAGAGAGAGAGAGAGAGAGAGAUCAAACACAUAGCUACUGGUACAUACCCUCAGCCCCGAGGGAGAACUACUCCCUCCUCGUCAUGGAGAGCACCGGGAUGAUGAAGAUGGCCAGCGGAGAAGGAUUGCCCCCUCCGGUAGGGUGCCAGAACAGGUUUAGAUUGGUUUUCGGUGGCUACGGAGGCUUCUGGCGGUGGAACUCCCGAUCUAUUGUGCUCACGGAUGUUUUUAGGGUAUAUGGAGAUAUAUAGGCGGAACAAGUAUGCCAGGGGGGCCACGAGGGUGGAGGGCGCGCCCCCUGCCUCGUGGCCUCCUCGCAGGUACCCCGACAUGCACUCCAAGUCUUCUGGGCUUCUUUCCUUCCAAAAAUGAGUUCCGUGAAGUUUUAGGUCAAUUGGACUCCGUUUGAUUUUCCUUUUCUUCGAAACCCUAAAACAGGGUAAAAACAGAAACUGGCACUGGGCUCUGGGUUAAUAGGUUAGUCCCAAAAAUGAUAUAUAAGUGUAUAAUAAAGCCCAUAAACAUUCAAAACAGUAGAUAAUAUAGCAUGGAGCAAUCAAAAAUUAUAGAUACGUUGGAGACGUAUCAAUCUCCGGGCUGUCCAUGAGGCAGGGGGGCGCUCGGGGGGUGGGCGCGCCCCCCACCCUCGUGGGCAGCCCGGGACUCUCCUGGUCCAACUCCGAUACUCCGUGGGCUUCUUCUGGUCCAAAAUGAGUUCCCUGAAGUUUCAGGUCAAUUGGACUAUGUUUGAUUUUCCUUUUCUGCGGUACUCUAAAACAAGGAAAAAAUAGAAACUGGCACUAGGCUCUGGGUUAAUAGGUUAGUCCCAAAAAUAAUAUAAGAGUGUAUAAUAAAGCCCAUAAACAUCCAAAAUAGAUAAUAUAAUAGCAUGGAACAAUCAAAAAUUAUAGAUACGUUGGACACGUAUCAGCAUCCCCAAGCUUAAUUCCUACUCGUCCUCGAGUAGGUAAAUGAUAAAAACAGAAUUUUUGAUGUGGAAUGCUACCUAACAUAUUUCUCUAAGUAAUUCUUCUUUAUUGUGGCAAGAAUAUUCAGAUCCAUAAGAUUCAAGACAAAAGUUUAAUAUUGACAUAGAAAUAAUAAUACUUCAAGCAUACUAACUAAGCAAUUAUGUCUCUUCAAAAUAACACGGCCAAAGAAAGUUAUCCCUACAAAAUCAUAUAGUAUGGCUAUGCCCCAUCUUCACCACACCACGUAUUCAAAUCAUGCACAACCCCGAUGACAAGCCAAGCAAUUGUUUCAUACUUUUGAUGUUCUCAAACUUUUUCAAUCUUCACGCAAUAUAUGAGUGUGAGCCAUGGAUAUAGCACUAUAGGUGGAAUAGAAUGGUGGUUGUGGAGAAGACAAAAAGGAGAAGAUAGUCUCACAUCAACUAGGUGUAUCAACGGGCUAUGGAUAUGCCCAUUAAUAGAUAUCAAUGUGAGUGAGUAGGGAUUGCCAUGCAACGGAUGCACUAGAGCUAUAAAUGUAUGAAAGCUCAACAAAAGAAACUAAGUGGGUGUUCAUCCAACUUGCUUGCUCACGAAGACCUAGGGCACUUGAGGAGGCCCAUUGUUGGAAUAUACAAGCCAAGUUCUAUAAUGAAAAUUUCCCACUAGUAUAUGAAAGUGACAAAACAAGAGACUCUCUAUCAUGAAGAUCAUGGUGCUACUUUGAAGCACAAGUGUGGUAAAAGGAUAGUAGCAUUGCCCCCCCCCCUUGCCUUUCUUUUUUUAUUUGGCCUUUCUUUUUUUUCUUUUUUUUCUUCUUUGGGGGGGGGGGGACAAUGCUCUAUUAAUGAUGAUCAUCACACUUCUAUUUAUUUACAACUCAAUGAUUACAACUCGAUACUAGAACAAGAUAUGACUCUAUAUGAAUGCCUCCGGCGGUGUACCGGGAUGUGCAAUGAAUCAAGAGUGACAUGUAUGGAAGAAUUAUGAACGGUGGCUUUGCCACAAAUACAAUGUCAACUACAUGAUCAUGCAUAGCAAUAUGACAAUGAUGGAGCAUGUCAUAAUAAACGGAACGGUUGAAAGUUGCAUGGCAAUAUAUCUCAGAAUGGCUAUGGAAAUGCCAUAAUAGGUAGGUAUGGUGGCUGUUUUGAGGAAGGUAUAUGGUGGGUUUAUGAUACCGGUGAAAGGUGCGCGGUAUUAGAGAGGCUAGCAAUGGUGGAAGGGUGACAGUGCGUAUAAUCCAUGGACUCAACAUUAGUCAUAACGAACUCACAUAAUUAUUGCAAAAAUCUAUUAGUUAUCGAAGCAAAGUACUACGCGCAUGCUCCUAGGGGGUAGAUUGGUAGGAAAAGACCAUCGCUCGUCCCCGACCGCCACUCAUAAGGAGGACAAUCAAUAAAUACAUCAUGCUCCGACUUCUUAACAUAACGGUUCACCAUACGUGCAUGCUACGGGAAUCACAAACUUCAACACAAGCAUUUCUAAAAUUCACAACUACUCAACUAGCACGACUCUAAUAUCACCAUCUCCAUAUCUCAAAACAAUUAUCAAGUAUCAAACUUCUCUUAGUAUUCAAUGCACUCUAUAUGAAAGUUUUUUACUAGUCUUGAAUACUUAGCAUAUUAGGAUUAUUUAAGAAAAUUACCAUGCUGUUUAAGACUCUCAAAAUAAUCUAAGUGAAGCAUGAGAGAAUAAUAGUUUCUAUAAAACAAAACCACCACUGUGCUCUAAAAAGAUAUAAGUGAAGCACUAGAGCAAAUGACAAACUACUCCGAAAGAUAUAAGUGAAGAUCAAUGAGUAGUCGAAUAAUUAUGCAACUAUGUGAAGACUCUCUAACAUUUAAGAAUUUCAGAUCUUGGUAUUUUAUUCAAACAGCAAGCAAAACUAAAGAAAAUAAAAUGACGCUCCAAGCAAAACACAUAUCAUGUGGUGAAUAAAAAUAUAGCUCCAAGUAAAGUUACCGAUGAACGAAGACGAAAGAGGGGAUGCCUUCCGGGGCAUCCCCAAGCUUAGGCUCUUGGUUGUCCUUGAAUAUUACCUUGGGCUGCCUUGGACAUACCCAAUCUUAGGCUCUUUACACUCAUUAUUCCAUAGUCCAUCAAAUCUUUACCUAAAACUUGAAAACUUCACAACACAAGACUUAAUAGAAAACUCGUAAGCUCCGUUAGCGAAGGAAAACAAAACACCACUUCAAGGUACUGUAAUGAACUCAUUAUUUAUUUAUAUUGGUGUUAAACCUACUGUAUUCCAACUUCUCUAUGGUUCAUAAACUCUUUUACUAGCCAUAGAUUCAUCAAAAUAAGUAAACAACACAUGAAAAACAGAAUCUGUCAAAAAUAGAACAGUCUGUAGUAAUCUGUAACUAACGCAAACUUAUGGAACCUCAAAAAUUAUAAAAUAAAUUGCUUGAUGUGAGGAAUUUAUCUAUUAAUCAUCUGCAAAAAUAAUUAACUAAAUAUCACUCUCCAAUAAAAAAUGGCAGCAAAUCUCGUGAGCGCUAAAGUUUCUGUUUUUUACAGCAUGAUCAACAAGACUUUCCCCAAGUCUUCCCAACGGUUCUACUUGGCACAAACACUAAUUAAAACAUAAAAACUCAAUAAUAACAGAGGAUAGAUAAAUUAUUUAUUGCUAAACAGGAUCAAAAAUCAAGGAACAAAAAUAAAAUUGGGUUGCCUCCCAACAAGCGCUAUCGUUUAACGCCCUUAGCUAGGCAUGAUGAUUUCAAUGAUGCUCACAUAAAGGAUAAGAAGAUAAAGAGAGCAUCAUGAAGAAUAGGACUAGCACAUUUAAGUCUAACCCACUUCCUAUCCAUAGGGAUUUUGUGAUCAAACAACUUAUAGGAACAAUAACCAACUAGCAUAGGAAGGCAAAACAAGCAUAACUUCAAAAUUUUAAGCACAUAGAGAGGAAACUUGAUAUUAUUGCAAUUAAUACAAGCAUAUGUUAAUCCCUCAUAAUAAUUUUCAGUAGCAUCAUGGAUGAAUUCAACAAUAUAACCAUCACAUAAAGCAUUCUUUUCAUGAUCUACAAGCACAGAAAUUUUAUUACUCUCCACACAAGCAAAAUUCUUCUCAUGAAUAAUAGUGGGAGCAAACACAACAAAAUAAUUAUCAUGUGAGGCAUAAUCCAAUUGAAAACUAAAAUCAUGAUGACAAGUUUCAUGGAUAUCAUCUCUUUAUAGCAUACAAGUCAUCAAAAUAAUCAUCAUAGAUAGCAACUUUGUUCUCAUAAUCAAUUGGAACCUCUUCCAAAAUAGUGGAAUCAUUACUAAAUAAAGUCAUGAACUCUCCAAAUCCACUUUCAUCAAUAUAAUCAUCAUAAAUAGGAGGCACGCUUUCAUCAUAAUAAAUUUGCUCAUGAAAACUUGGGGGACAAAAAAUAUCAUCUUCAUCAAACAUAACUUCCCCAAGCUUGUGGCUUUGCAUAUCAUUAGCAUCAUGGAUAUUCAAGGAAUUCAUACUAACAACAUUGCAAUCAUGCUCAUCAUUCAAAGAAUUAGUGCCAAACAUUUUAAUGCAUUCUUCUUCUAACACUUUGGCACAAUUUACCUUUCCAUCAUACUCACGAAAGAUAUUAAAAAGAUGAAGCGUAUGAGGCAAACUUAAUUCCAUUUUUUAUUUUCUUUUAUAAACUAAACUAGUGAUAGAACAAGAAACUAAAAGACUCGAUUGCAAGAUCUAAAGAUAUACCUUCAAGCGCUAACCUCCCCGGCAACGGCGCCAGAAAAGAGCUUGAUGUCUACUACACAACCUUCUUCUUGUAGACGUUGUUGGUCCUCCAAGUGCAGAGGUUUGUAGGACAGUAGCAAAUUUCCCUCAAGUGGGUGACCUAAGGUUUAUCAAUCCGUAGGAGGCGUAGGAUGAAGAUGGUCUCUCUCAAGCAACCCUGCAACCAAAUAAGAAAGAGUCUCUUGUGUCCCCAACACACCCAAUACAAUGGUAAAUUGUAUAGGUGCACUAGUUCGGCGAAGAGAUGGUGAUACAAGUGGUAUAUGGAUAGUAGAUAAUGGUUUUUAUAAUCUGAAAUUAUAAAAACAGCAAGGUAACUAAUGAUAAAAAUGAGCACAAACGGUAUUGCAAUGCUAGGAAACAAGGCCUAGGGUUCAUACUUUCCCUAGUGCAAGUCCUCUCAACAAUAAUAACAUAAUUGGAUCACAUAACUAUCCCUCAACAUGCAACAAAGAGUCACUCCAAAGUCACUAAUAGCGGAGAACGAACGAAGAGAUUGUGGUAGGGUACGAAACCACCUCAAAGUUAUUCUUUCCAAUCAAUCCGUUGGGCUAUUCCUAUAAGUGUCACAAACAGCCCUAGAGUUCGUACUAGAAUAACACCUUAAGACACAAAUCAACCAAAACCCUAAUGUCACCUAGAUACUCCAAUGUCACCUCAAGUAUCUGUGGGUGUGAUUAUAUGAUAUGCAUCACACAAUCUUAGAUUCAUCUAUUCAACCAACACAUAGAACCUCAAAGAGUGCCCCAAAGUUUCUACCGGAGAGUCAAGACGAAAACGUGUGCCAACCCCUAUGCAUAGAUUCCCAAGGUCACGGAACCCGCAAGUUGAUCACCAAAACAUACAUCAAGUGAAUCAUAGAAUACCCCAUUGUCACCACAGGUAUCCCACGCAAGACAUACAUCAAGUGUUCUCAAAUCCUUAAAGACUCAAUCCGAUAAGAUAACUUCAAAGGGAAGACUCAAUCCAUCACAAGAGAGUAGAGGGGGAGAAACACCAUAAGAUCCAACUAUAAUAGCAAAGCUCACGAUACAUCAAGAUCGUACCACCUCAAGAACACGAGAGAGAGAGAGAGAGAGAGAGAUCAAACACACAGCUACUGGUACAUACCCUCAGCCCCGAGGGAGAACUACUCCCUCCUCAUCAUGGAGAGCACCGAGAUGAUCAAGAUGGCCACUAGAGAGGGAUUCCCCCUCCGGCAGGGUGCCGGAACAGGUCUAGAUUGGUUUUCGGUGGCUACGGAGGCUUCUGGCGGCGGAACUCCCGAUCUAUUGUGCUCCUCGAAGUUUUUAGGGUAUAUGGGUAUAUAUAGGAGGAAGAAGUACGUCGGUGGAUCUCCGGGCUGUCCACAAGGCAGGGGGGCGCGCCCGGGGGGGUGGGCGCGCCCCCCACCCUCGUGGGCAGCCCGGGACUCUCCUGGUCCAACUCCGAUACUCCGUGGGCUUCUUCUGGUCCAAAAAUGAGUUCCGUGAAGUUUCAGGUCAAUUGGACUCCAUCUGAUUUUCCUUUUCUGCGAUACUUCAAAAGAAGGAAAAAUAGAAACUGGCACUGGGCACUGGGUUAAUAAGUUAGUCCCAAAAAUAAUAUAAGAGUGUAUAAUAAAGCCCAUAAACAUCCAAAACAGAUAAUAUAAUAGCAUGGAACAAUCAAAAAUUAUAGAUACGUUGGAGACGUAUCAACUACGUUGUUGACGACCCCUACUUGCCAGAGCAACCAGGCAAGCCCCCCCUGAUCAUCCCGAUAUCGCCUAUUCUUCUCUCUACUGCUUGCAUUAGAGUAGUGUAGCAUGUUACUGUUUUGGUUAAUCCUAUUCUAUUGCAUAGCCUGUCAUUGUUGCUACAGUUUUUGAUACCUUACCUCCAAUCCUAAAUGCUUAGUAUAGGAUGCUAGUUUAUCAUCAGUGACCCUACGUUCUUGUCCGUCUGCCAUGCUAUACUAUCGGGCCAUGAUCACUAGGGAGGUGAUCACGGGUUUAUACUAUAUAUCUUAUACUUGAUACAUGUGAUGUCUAAAGACAGGUCGGCUCGUAGAGUACCUGCGAGUGAUUCAUGGAUUGGGGGUUGAAAGGACCUUUGUCCCAACGGCCCUCUGGGUGGAUCUUUGUGAUGGAGCAACAGGGCAGGUUGAGACCACCUAGGAGAGAGGUGGUCCUAGCCCUGGUCGGCGUCCGCGGUUACUUCUAAAUAACAUGCUUAACAAGAUCUUGGUAUUUGAUCUAAGUCUGGCCACUGGCCUAUACGCACUAAACAACUACGCAGGAACAGUUAUGGGCACUCGACGUCGUGGUAUCAUCCGAAGCCUUCUUGAUGUCAGCGACUGAGUGGCGCACACCAGGUUGGACCGCGUAACGCAACUUCCUUUGUAAUGGAGGUUGCUAGGUCUACUCACCGACCAUGUACGCAACGUGCAGGUGUGCAAUGGGCGAUGGGCCCAGACCCCUGCGCGCUUUGGAUUUAGACCGGCGUGUUGACCUCUCUGUUGUGCCUAGGUGGGGCUGCGACGUGUUGAUCUUCCGAGGCCGGGCAUGACCCAGGAAAGUGUGUCCGGCCAAAGGGGAUCGAGCGUGUUGGGAAAUGUGGUGCACCCCUGCAGGGAAGUUUAUGUAUUCAAAUAGUCAUGUCCCUCGGUAAAAGGACGACCCGGAGUUGUACCUUGACCUUAUGAGAACUACAACCGGAUACUUAAUAAAACACACCCUUUCAAGUGCCAGUUACAACCCGGUGAUCGCUCUCUAACAGGGCGACGAGGGGAGGAUCGUCGGGUAGGAUUAUGCUAUGCGAUGUUACUUGAUGAACUUACCAUCUACUCUCUUCUUCUGCUUCAACAUGGAGGCUGCCAGAAGCGUAGUCUUUGAUAGGACUAGCUAUUCCCCUCUUAUUCCUGUAUUCUGCAGUUCAGUCCACAUAUACUAUCCCUUUCAUUGAUACCAAUGCAUAUGUAGCAUAGAUCAUUGCUUGCGAGUACUUUGGAUGAGUAUUCACGAUUGCUUUGCUACUUAUUUUUCCCCUUUUUCCGACUAUUGCGAUCAUAUGAUGGAGUACAGGAGCCAGAGGAUCCCGAGUAUGAUUCUACAUGGAGUUUGACUUCGAGGAGUAGUUAGGAGGUCCCAAGAAGGAGGCCUUGCCUUUUCAAUCGUUGUUACUUUUGUGCUAGCCUUCUUAAGGCAAACUUGUUUAACUUAUGUCUGUACUCAGAUAUUGUUGCUUCCACUGACCCUUGUGUUUUCGAGCUUAUGUAUUCGAGUCCUCGAGGCCCCUGGCUUGUAAUAUAAAGCUUGUAUUAUUUUAAUUUGUGUCUAGAGUUGUGUUGUGAUAUCUUCCCGUGAGUCCUUGAUCUUGAUCGUACACAUUUGCGUAUAUGAUUAGUGUACGAUUGAAUAGAGGGCGUCACACACAGGGCAUGUCAAAUGAUAAUAGCAAGAUAGAAGAGAAGAAGGGGUGAUUCUAGGGAAGCGAAGGCGGACUCUGUCAAAGCACCAGAAAUCUUCUUAUAUUAAAAGUACUCCAAAAAACAUGUGAAACGUUCCGCAAAAGCAAGUAAAUUAAACACGGUAUGGACAUUUCUUUGAUAAUUUUAUAUUCAAAAAUUGUAUUAUAACUUUAUUGACUUGUGUUGUAGAACUAUUUAAUGAAACAAGCCCUCAGUUUGAUCAUUCUGUGGAUGAUGUGGUGCGUGUGACUGUGCAAUACGUGAAAGCGUACGAGCACUCACCAAAACAUAAGAACCAUGAAAUAUUCAACAAUGGUAAAGAUGAAGGACUAUCUGCGGUAAGAGCUUGCCAAAUAAUUAACCAUGCAUGGUUAUCCGAUGAUGUAUGUACUUUAAUUAUCAUGCUUAUUUCUAUGUGCUAAAUAUAAUGCAUCCAUGUUAAAUUUACUCAUCAAUUUCAGGUAAUUGACGCUUAUGCGAUGUACAUUUUGGAUUCAAGUAUCGCCAAGGACAGGUAUCUUAUACCUACUGGUUACUGCACACUCGCCCAAAGUUAGUCAGACGAGAGAAGUCGGUAGACGAUCCGGAAGGUUUAGCACAUGUAAAUGAACCUCUCAAUAGAUACAUGACAGAAUAUUUUGUAAAACCUAAGGUACCGUUUGCAAUGCAGAAUUGUUUUCACAUGACUAUCAUAUGUGAAAAGCGAGCUUAAUAACAAUAUUUGAAUUGUCAAAUGGGCUUAUUUUGCUCUAAAUAAGAAUAAAAAUCAUUGGAUUGUGUUGUGCACACUGGAAAGAAAGAGUUUCAACUUCUUGAUUCAUUGAUGGGGGGAGAAAAAAAUUCUAAAGCUACCACAAAACUCGUUGAAUUUUUUUUAAGUUUCGUAAUCAUGUAUGUACAAUUAAGCCCAUCAUUUGUUUACCGUAUGUACUCAACAUGUUUGUAUCUUUUUUUUUCAAAGAGAACAACUUGCAGGAGAUAUCGAAGAUGCAAAUGAUAGUGCAAUGAUGUCGUUCCCGGAUGUGUCCGCAUGGCCUAUAGUCCUGUACGAUAUGCCUCAACAAGAAGAUGGGUGAGUUACAUGUUGCAUGUGCUUUCGAAAUACAUUAAUUGAUUCAGUGUUGUCUUACUUAACAUGCUUUGAAAAUUACACUUGUGGUUUUCGAGCACAUGGACUCAUGUGGGUUGUUCCUCCUUCGCUGUUUUCAAUACUGGGACGAAGAAAAAAUUAUAAGCGUUUUUUUUCAGGUGGGUACAUUUUCUGUAUAAAAAAUAUUACAUCAUACUAUACCUAAGUGUUGAAAUUAAAAUCAUUUUAAUUAUUUUUCAGAAAUCUAUUGAUAGUUCGAGAGAAAGAAUGAUAGCUGGAAUUAUUUUGUUCCCAGAAAAUAAGCUUACAAAAGUGAAGAACAAAGUUAUUCGACUUGCAAAGAAGAAAAAUAAAAUCUCACACCAGAGUACUAAGCGGGCUUCGAAUUUACUUGAAUGCUUAUGAAACAUGAUUGAAGAUUGUGUGUGGGUGUUUUUUAUGUGAAUUUUAAACAUUUUUCACAUGUCAAGAUUAUGCCGUGUGACCAAUUUAUUUAGCGUACGUUCUAAACAUUUGAAAUUUACAAAUUUAUUUUAUAUUUUGCGUUGAAUGAGCAUUCAAGCGAAUGUACGAAGUUGAGGCUUUAAAAUACCGUGUCGUGAUCGUGUUCUUCGAGUUGACACAUCCGGAUCACGUGUCAGAUAUACUGUCAGCGGCAGAACAUCCGUGUCCCGUCGAACCGAAUCAGGUCUGUGUCAGAGGCGAGCGUCGCCCGCGCCGCGCGUCACGUGCUCGCCUCGUGCGGCUCAAACUGCGCCACGUGCUCGCCACGAGAUGGCCCGCGGGGGGCGAGUCAUCUAGCGAACUGGCCCGCGUCGCGCGUCGCUCCCGGGUUGGACUUUGCGUCGCCCGAGGUGGAUUCACCCCCUGCCCACCUGCGCCCUCUGCGCCUAAGUGCAUUGUAGCCUCGGGAUUGCCAUCUGCGGUGGCACCUGAAUCAUCCUCAUGCCUUGCGCCCCUUUGCGACUCCCAUUUAGCUUUAAAAGCUGCCCAUCUCGCCUCAAACUCAUCAUGUGUAGUAGCAUAGUAAAUAAGAGAUCUGAACUCCUUAAGGGACUUGUGGUGGUGUUUCUGUAUGUUCUUCUUUAUAUGCCACGAACAAAGUCGAUGCCACACGUCAGUAAGGACCUUCCUGAUGGCCCCUAUCAUGGUUGUGUCUCCGUCAGUAAUUACAGACCUCGGAUUCUUCUGACAAUGAGCUCUCAAGAAGGUCUACAACACCCAAACAUAUGUAUCCCCGGUCUCAUCUGACACAACAGUACAACCGAACACAGUGGUGCAACGAUGAAUGUUUAGACCAACAUAAGGUAUGAAUGGCAUUUCGUACCUAUUCAUCUUAUAAGUGCUGUCGAAAACGGUUACAUCAUCGAAGUCAAGGUAAUCCCAACAUGACUGAGAAUCACACCAGAAUAGGUUCUUCAGCUUGCCUUCUGCGUCAACGGUGUGAUCAAAGAAAAAGUCUGGAUCCCUUGCCUUUCUGGUCAUCAUGAUCCCAAUCGCAGUGUCCGCAUCACCCUUUGCUAGCAACUUCAUUUUCUUCUUAUAACAUAUGUUAUAAAGCUUCCUCUUCCUGAAACCAGCCCUUGCAUAUGAUCCAUACCUACUAACGAAGUUAUCAUAAAUCCAAUUUUUUCUGAUCCCAGCACCUGCCAUUGCUAAGAUCUCGAGCUUCUGGUAUUCCUUUAUCUGAUUAUGAGACCGGAGAUAUGUAACUUCAUCCGGUUUAGCAAGAAUGUGACUAUGAUCAUCGCUGAAACUGUUGACAUAUCAAAUGGAGCGCUCUCUAUCAAGCUUCGCUAUUAGAUGGGCCACGCAAUAACACCGACUCUUCGCUUUCAGCCUGCGCUUCCUCCCUUCCGUGGUACAAAACUUGGCCUGUCGUUUCCCGGCCCUUAAACAGAGAAACCUCCUCAAGCGCUUACGUGCAUCGACACCCUUUGCGUAUUUCAAGUUGUCCCUCCAAAUGCUGAACCCACGUUUUUUUUUUGCAUAGCCGUUAUAUAAAUCAUAUGCCUCCUCGUCUGACCUGAACGUCGUGGCCAUCACCAUCCAAUGCCUGUCCAGUGAGUCUUGCUGGUAUUCAUCGUACGCAGUGUCAAAAUUGCACUCAUCACCAUUGGCAUCGUCGUCGUUUUCACACGGGCCACCAACCUCUCCCUGAAAAAAAUACAAACAACCUUAUAUGUCAGUAAGUUGUUGUAUGAGGACUAUCAUAUAUAUUCACUUUGCACUACUUACUUUGGUCGAGUUGUCAUUAUAAGAUGCAUCGAUAUCGUUUUCGUCAUUGGCAUCAUCAAAUAAAUUCCACUCAUAGUACCCUUCCAAAUCCAUAUGUGUAAAUUUUAAAUAUGAUAUGUAAGAUUUGAUGUGUUUGUCAUGUCACUUUAAACUAACCUGCAUAAUUUUAAACUUACAUGGCUACCGCUUUCAGCAUAUGAAUCAUCUACAUCCAUAUCCUCAUUGUCAUCAUCCCCUCCUACAUGUGCAAAGUCAAACAAGUACAUGUUAGUGUCAUCGCGAAUGCUUGUAUUUAAUAUGCUUGACAACACGUUGACUACUUACAUUGCCACUGUAAGACUCAUCCAAACUCAUAUAAUUUUCCCCGCCUUGUUCGUCUUCAUCCAAUGACAAUGAUCCAUCCUCGUUGCCGCCAUCAUCACCGUCAUAUUCGAUUUCCGCCUCCAUAUAUACACGUUUAUAUAUAAUCAAAGACCCAUUCAAACAGCACGUAACAUCGUCGCAACUGAAAUCCGUUUUUAAAUCACUAUGUCAGCGGCUCGCGUACCUUGUUGCAUUCGUCAGACGUGACAAUAGCGUUGAGAUUGGCCGAAGGCUUGAGGGCGAACAGCACGCCGAGCAGACGAUGGCGGCGGCGUCUGCCGGACCUAGGCGGUUGUCGGCGUCGAGUCGCGCACAAAGCGUCGAUAUUAUUGAAUGCUGCCGGCGACUUUAUUUUCCCGUCGGCCAGGUACUGCCCGAGAUGGCAGCAGCGGNNNNNNNNNNNNNNNNNNNNNNNNNNNNNNNNNNNNNNNNNNNNNNNNNNNNNNNNNNNNNNNNNNNNNNNNNNNNNNNNNNNNNNNNNNNNNNNNNNNNNNNNNNNNNNNNNNNNNNNNNNNNNNNNNNNNNNNNNNNNNNNNNNNNNNNNNNNNNNNNNNNNNNNNNNNNNNNNNNNNNNNNNNNNNNNNNNNNNNNNNNNNNNNNNNNNNNNNNNNNNNNNNNNNNNNNNNNNNNNNNNNNNNNNNNNNNNNNNNNNNNNNNNNNNNNNNNNNNNNNNNNNNNNNNNNNNNNNNNNNNNNNNNNNNNNUAUUGUUGUACGCCAGAAAAUAGCAGCCAUCACAUCUGUUUCGUGGGGGAAAUGUGCUACCGUCCAUGGGAUGAUACACUGCUGCAGGACCACACGAAGCGUUCCAUCUGCAUGCAAAGCACAUAAUGAAUUCAUUAAUAUAUUUAUUACGUAUACCCCAUUGAACAUUUGCAUCUUGCCACCUACAGAAGCAUGUCUUUGCAAUCUCUGCUCCAGACCCCUGUUCUCGAUUUCUCACACCAGCAUGAUGGAUCUUGUCAGCUACCUAUUGACUGUUGACUGAUGAGGUUCUUCUCAAUAUUGAAGUAUCAAAAGGCACCAGAUACUCAAUAUGAGAAUGGGAAGGUGUUAUGACGCAAUCAACAACUCCGUGUGAGAAGGAUGUUUAACAGAACAAGAUACAUAGAUGCAGUGAAAUAAAAUAUAGGCACUUUCAGCAGAUAUUCUUCCUACAAGCGAGCAACACUAUCAAUUUAUCCGAAGUUCCAAAACACUACAGCAAGCAUCAUCGUCUCCUUGCUCCAAAUGUGAAGUGGUAAUCACGUCAAAAUAAAGAAUGUGAAGUGGAAAACAAGAGUACAUCACCUGACAUUUUUUGGAGUGACACACUAUUGUAUGAAAUGCUCGACAGCAGCCCUAUUUUUGGGCACAAAAAACAUGGUGGAGUUAAAAGAAUUAGGUCACAAAAACGCUUUUUUGGCACCAGCAAACGUCGUCUCCAACAGCAGACCUAUAACAAAGCACAAAAUCAAAUUUUUUUGGGGCACGAAAUAUGGCAAAACUGCUCCAACAGCUACCCUAAAAUAGGACGGGAGCGGCGCCGAGUGUAUCGGGGUUGGUAACGGGGUCCGAGGAGCCGGCCAUGGCGCGCGGGUGGAUCCAAAGGUUUCCGGCCACGGGCAGGCGUCCGGAAGUAGCCUCAUGUUUUUGGGCAGCCGCCUGACUGCCCUAUAUUUGCUGCACGAGGAGCCUCUUUUUCGGGUUGCCAAAAAUAUUAAUUUUCUCUUAGGAUUGGGCAGAUGUUGGAGGUCAAUUGUUUGCCCUCUCAUGCCUAGAAACGCCGUGUGCUAAAAAAUAAAGUUGUUGUUGAAGAUGAUCUAACUGUUGUAAGAUGUUUUUACAAACUGACUUAGCUUGCAAAAACAUCUUACGUUAUGGAGGAAGUAUUCUGCGUCAAAGAUGAUUUGGAAACCGCAGUAGGUCGUGCCCUGAAACCGAAUGGUAAAGGUAAGAGGUUAGAAAUAGUAAGCAAAAUAAUCCAAGUCGCUCAGGAGGUGGUGCACAAAAGCUGAGCACUUACACAUUAUCACAUAAGUUUUUUUUUUUGUCAAAACCCAAUUGCCCCAAUUGCUUUUGUAUCCAUAUAAAUCCAUACGAAGAAUAUAAGCUAGUAUCUAGCAUUUCAUUUAGGUCAGUAUACUGGCUAGCUGGAUGCAUUUGACUGUCAGCAAACUUGGAACUACUACAUGCAGCAGCACUGGUUAAACAUGCGAAAACUAAAAUACUCCCUCUAUAUUGGUUGUAAUAAGGGCAUCUCCAACAUUGACCCCCAAAACGGACACUGCACGGUCGCAUCCGUGGAUAGUGAUAUGAAAACCGGCCAUCCAACCAUAGCCGCAUACAUUUUAAACCGGAUUUCAACAAACCAGACGAAUCACGGCGGGAGAGGUUGUACCGCUGCUCCUUAUGCACCUGCCGGAAUACCGAGAAUGGUUGCGGCGUUGGCUGCUCCUGCGCCAUGGCAUCAUUGAAAUGAGCAUGUGCAUGUUCCAUGGUGAAGCCGGCAUGGGACAGCCCGGGCUGGAGCACCGGCUCACGUCGGAGCCCUUCUCCAUCGUCUGGUUGUCAUCAGAGACCUCAAGGGAGUUGGCCGGCAAGUCGUCCUCAAUCUGCCUAGCACGGUGGCCCUGCCAUCCAAUGCAAGGGCGGCCAACUCGUUGUUCGGCUCCGUCGAGAGGCUCCCCCACAACGCGCUAGAGUUCGCGGUCAUGGCGGAGGUGGAGUAUGGAGGAGGAUGUGAAGUGGGCCCUAGUGUGGUGCAGUUUGUGUCGGGCGUGGCCUCGUUAAAAUAGUGGAUGACGGCCAGGCUCAACAACGGAGUGUGUCAUUGUGAGCGCCGGAGUAGGUUUCUCGGUCGGCGAGCCUGUUUAAUGAUGGCAGACAGACAUGUGGCCAACCCGUUUGAAUGCGGUAGAUAUCCGUCUCACCCCGUCUAGUAUUUAACAGGCGCGGACACCGGGAUGCGGUGUUGGCGGCGCUCUGGGCCGGCGCGCCGCUACAGUGUUGGCACUAGUUAGAGGUCAAGUCCGCUCUGGGCCGACAUGAAUGUGGCGAUGGCACUCUGGAAAGGCAUGAAUGCGCGACAAAUGCUUCGCCCGGUAGAGGGUGCGGCGAGGGAGAGGGUUUUGGUGGGUCCGGGGUGUCGCACCUGUGCGUGGUAGAGGUGCGAACGCUCGUAAAGCGCCCUAGUUUGCCUCCAGUUUGCGGGAAAACGAACAUUUAGACCGGUCCGCAGACCGACGGGGGUGGUCAGCCCGUUUGAAUGCGGUAGAUAUCCGUCUCGUCCCAUCUAGUAAUGUCUCUCGGCAUUUAACAGGUGCGGACACUAGGAUGCGGCGCGGGCGGCGCUCUGGGCUAGCGCGUUGCUUUAGUGUCGACACUAGUUAAAGGUCACGUCUGCUCUGGGCUGACAUGAAUGCGACGCUAGCACUCUGGAACGACAUGAAUGCGCGGCAAAUUCUUCGCUUGGUAGAGGGCGCGGACGAGGGAGAGGGUUUUGGGUGAGUCCGGGGUGUCGCACGCGUGCGUGGCAGAGGUCCGAACGCCCGUAAAGCACCCUGGUUUGCCUUGAAUUUGCGGGAAAACGGAUGUCCAGACAGGCCCGUAGACCAACGGCAAAACACGUCCACACUGCCCGGUCCGAACAGAUAAGGUUCGGAUUGUCCGGUCCGCACAAAUGCGGACGGUUUGAGGAUCAUCAUUAGAGAUGCCCUAACAUCUUAUAUUAGAGAACGGAGUGAGUACUCAAAACACUUAUUGUCUUUUAUCCGGUGCAUUCAUUUAAUAAACUAUCGGCACAAUUCCUUUGUAUCCUUCCAAAGAAGGAAACAUAAAUGAAUGAUGUAGUACAACAAGGCACAACUAUUUAAUUCACCAAUUUAUACACCGUGAAACUACUAUUGGCAUCAUCUUCAAGCGCAAUUGGAGUAGUCGAAUGGAUAUGCACCUCACUACUGAAUUACAGAUAAACUAGGGUUUCUUUUGCCUACUUUCCAAUGCAAACUUAGCCUUCUUAAUCCUAUGCCUUCAGUCCAGAACCAACGGGGAUCAUAUCACGCACCGUACCAGAUCAAAUGAGGCGAGGACAGCCAACGGCUAGAUGAAGGCGAGCAACCAAAGUGAUGCAGUUACCUCAGUUACUGUUCACCCCCCAAAAAAAUUACUGUUCAAUUUCUUUUACCGAAUUACUGUUUAACGUUCUCUUAUCACUGCUGUAAUUUGAACUGGCUAUACAAGCAGAUGUCCUGGAAAUGAGAAGAAUAAGGGAAAACAAUUAUCUCUAUGUCAUCUGGAGUCAACACCAAAGAUAACUGAAGGUCCUUUUUCAUAAUCUGAAAUAACGCAAGAAGGUUAACAUUGGGAACAGGUGUAUAUUGUCAAUUCUGAUGGUAGAAAGAUCCCUAGCCUGCUGGGCCGCAAUGAUACAUCACCACACAACAAGGCAUGUAAAAGCAUCACUCGCUGGGUUGCUUAGCGGUCAGCCCCUUCAUGCGUAUUGCGUAGCAUCAAAACCUCCGAACCGGCACACUCACUUAUUGAGUUACUGCUUAU
rnacentral:lncRNA from 1 species